CUGGGACAGAGGAGCUGGAUGUAGGGCCAGCUCAGAAAAGCCGAGAUUCUGCUUGCUUGAGAUGAGGCUGGAAAGGUCAGUGGAAUCGCUGAUCAAAACAAUCAAUUCGGUCUGCACGCCUGCGGUUAAAUCCAACGCCAUCGAAACACGAGUUCUGAUCAACGUCAGACAUGGGCACAGCCACCCGCAGGAGGGAAGGAGAUGUCGUCCCUUCCCUGCGCAGCGGCACGGCAAGUCAAGGUGAUCGCCUCUCUGGGUGGCCACAGGGACGUGCACACAGGUAAUGUUUUUGUCACUUCCUUCACACUCGUCUAUCUCUCCAACUUCCAAGCCUUUCUGUAGUGUCCCCGCCUUCCGUCUUGUUUUGAAUCGACGUACGGUCCUUCCUGGCCAGUGGCGUUUGCAGUUACUUUGGGCGGGGGGAUCCUUUCGGGAAAACGAACCUUCCACGUAACUCCAAUCUUUUAAACAUACAAGCAGAGAUCUCUGUGUCUCUCCUUCUCCCAGACCCUCUCCAGCCUCAGAAGCAACCCCGGAAUCUGCCUGUUCAGUCCGCACCAUGUGUGUCUCAGAGGCAGAGAUACUGCAAGCUGCCAUCCCAUAUCCCUUUCCCCUUCUUUCUUAGUAACAGAAUUCCAAUUCGUGGGAAUGAACCCGACCAAAAGGCUGCGUUUCCCAGCCUGUCUUGCUGUCAGGUGAUGCCGUCCAGUGAUCCAAGUCCAGGCAAUGACCUGUAAAUGGAAGUAUCAUGUGAUAUUCCUGGGAAGACUCCUCACCACUGAGAGUUGUGCCCUUUCUGCCCUUCUAUUCCUCCUCCUCCUCCUCACUGUCUGUAAUAUACAGAUGAUGGCUGGAGCUCCAGCAGCCAUAUUGGACCAUUAGUUUACUUUGAAGCUGGAGCCUGUGUUUUAGGGAUGGCAGGGCAAAAAAAAAAAAAAGACAGAGCCUGGGUCUGCGUGACUUCAUGGUGCUGCCACCCAGUUCUUCAUUGCCCGUCUGACUUCUUUUACGUGAAAGAGUAAGUUCUGAUGUGUCUAAUGCAAGGUUGUUUAGGUUUUCCUGUCUGUAGUUAUUUUCCCACUAUAGGUCUCUUCUCAUGUACUGUUUGGGAAGGGAAAAUCAUGGAGAACUAGGGUAAAGCCAUACUGACAUUAUGGAAUACACCCUUUGGAUAGAAUUUGUUUAUAAAAUUAGUGAUAGUAGCUGGCAUCUCCUUAGUGUUCACUGUGUGCAAAGCCGUCUAAGCAUUUGUGCAUACGUUAUUUCACUUACUACUCGGUCCACCACCUGAGGUAGGGAACAUCACGGAGAGCUUUCAGAUGAAGACAUGGAGGCUGAGAGGAGGUCACGUCUUGCCAAAAGUCACACAGCUAGCACGAGGACAAUUUAAGGCGGGAAGAUCUGACUCAUGUACUCUUUCGUGAUCUAAACCUGAGGGGAGGCAGUUCUAGAAUCAGACCGGCUUGGGUAGAAGUCCUUGCUCUACCUUCUCCUAGAAGGAUGAUCUUGGGUAAAAUUCUUUUACUUCCCCGAGCCUUAGGCUGUGCCUUCCAAGGUGAGGUGUGGAUUAGCAAGUUCAUGCGUGUGCAGUUUACAGCGCAAUGCCUGCAUAGGGCAGUGAGCUGGUGUCAGUCGUAACACAGGGGGCGGGGUGGUGAAGUUAGAGGAAUACGAUGAGAGGGAAGCCACGUAUUUUCAGAAGAAUUUGAAAACAGCUCCUUGGAGGUCUGGCAGAGAAUAGAAAAAUGCUGGUGGUGUUUAUACGCAUACCGAAGUGUGAAGCUGAGCGAGAUACCUCUUCUUAUUCUCAGUUUCCUCAUCUAUAAAGAGGGAAUAACAAUCUCUUUCACGCGGGAUCCCUGGAGGAAAGAAGUGACCGGUGGCAGAAUGAGACACGGUGUUUCUGACAUUCUAGUUCGACUUCACUAACCCUUGGCAGCUCUUCGUCUUCCCAAAUGACAUGGCAAACUCUCUGUCCCACUUUCUUAUUUUUCUUACUUCAAGUUGUCACGAGGAUUUCUUUUAUAUUGUGGAAACCGAUACCAACAGUUGUGGUUCAGAAAUGCCAGCCCGAAUAAAAGUGCAAGAAUUAGCACCGGACGAUAGAGAAAAAAGAACGGCAAACACACAAAAAACGGUAGCUUUUAAAGGAAAUGUGAUCAUUUCUAAAACCAUAAAAACUCUCGGGAGACUACAUCAAAAUGUAAAACUUCUGUGUAUCAGGGGUCAUGACCAACAGGCUGAAAAGGCAAUCUACGGACUCGGAGAAAAGAUGGUCAAGUUAUGUAUCUGAUAAAAAGGUUAAUAUCUAGAAUACAUAAAGAACACCUAUAACUUAACAACAACAAAAGUACCCUAUUUGAAAAUGGGCCUAGGGCUCAAACCGACAUUUUGCCAAAGAAGACACACAAAUGGACAACUUGCGUAUGAAAAGAUCCGCAACAUCACUAAUCGUUAGGGAAAUGCACAUCAAAACUACCAUGUGAUUUCACUUCCCACCCGUUAGGGUGGCUGAUGUCAAAACCAUGCAAGUGUUGGCCAGGAUGUGGCCAGAUUGGAACCCUUGUGCACUGUUGGGAGUAUAUAAUGGUGUGGCCAUUCUGGAAAAGAGCAUGGAGAUUCCACAGAAAAAUCAAAAAUAGAACCACCACAUGAUCCAGCAAUUCCACGUAUGGGUCUGUGUCUAAAAGAAUUGGAAACAGGGUCUUGAAGAGGUAUUUGCGCACGCGUAUUCAUAGCGGCAAUAGUCCCAAUAGCUAAAAGGUGGAAAAGCAACCCAAGCAUCCUUCCAUAGAUGAAUGGACAAACCAAGUGUGUUUUAUUCCGACAGUGGAAUAUUUUUCAGCCUUAAGAAGGAAAAAAAAAGUUGGCUCAUGGAGGCACUCUGGGGACGUUAUGCUAAAUGGAAUAAUCCAGUCACAAAAAGACAAAUACUGUAUGAUUCCACUUAUAAGACAUGUCUAGAGUAGUCAAAUUCAUAGAAACGGGAAGUAGAAUGGUGGUUUCUAGAGGCUGGGGAAGAAAAUGGGGAAUUGUUGUUUGUUUAAGGGGUAUAGAGUUUCAGUUUUGCAAAAUGAAAACGUUCUGGAAAGUGGCUGUCCAACAGUGUGAAUACACUAAACGCUACUGAACUUAGGAAGGGCAAAGACAGGAAAUGUUAUGUUACAUGUAUUUUAUCACAGUUAAAACACGCACCCUGUUGGGAGAGCAGCGAUAGGAGGAAGGGUGAGAGAGACAGAAUGGAAGAACCGGCAGGUGACAGGACAGCGGCAACAUGACAUGGGCGUCGGUGAUGCGUUUGACAACGGCUUCCAGAAAAGUUGUGCUCCAAAGUAAAUUGGCCUGUUUGGGAAUGCUCUCAUCUAAACGGAAUGCUGGCAGAGUGAAAAUACUACGUAAUCGGGGAUAAGUGGCAACUACGUCUGGUCGGAAGCAAAAGCUGGGGCAAAUCACAGGCUGGUGGCGGAACUGGCCUCAUUUAAUGAACUCAUUAAUGACCCAGAAGAAUAUGGAAAUAGCUGAUCCUGGUGAAAUCUGUGCAGAUAUGCUGGCAAAGCCCGGGCCUUGGCCUUAGAAUGGCAUGAACAUCCCCGGGAUGGAGAAAGAUUUUCCACUAGGUACUUAAUUGGAUUAAAGCCAAUGACUUCCUGGGACGAGAACGCUUUCUCAGCUCCACCCCUUGUCUCUGGAGCAGGAAGAAAAUUCUGAAAUGUGAUUCAGGUCAUAAGCUCAUACUUGACCGAGGCCAGUGGAAGGACGGGGCUUUUCCAGAGCACAGUUCUGCCUCGGUCCUUUACCUCUGGAUAGAAGACUAGGCAUCUACACAUUGCAAAGGUAGAAGGAAGGAGAAGGUGAGAGGCGAGGGAGACACAGUGCGCGUCUCGUGGAGGAAGCUCUGGGCCAGAUGCCCGUGAAACCCCAACAUCCAAGACUCUGAAGUGUGGCACAGGUUUUGUCACCCUCUUUCCCUGCUUGGAACCUGUCUGCUGUUUCCCAAGGCACUUCAGAGAGGUCUGACACCUUUGACGAGGCCUUGAAUGAUCUGGCCCUGCCUCCCCAUCCAGCCUCUUCCUGCAUCACUGCUUUUCUCACCCAUCCCACGCUCGUCCACUACUUGGCCUGCUCAGCAGAGGCUCUUCCUCUUCUGCCAAAGCUCCACCGUUUUCAUCAGCAAAUUCACCCCUUCCUUCCCCGCCCCGAGUCACCACUCCGUCCCCAGCCACUGCGCUUGGUUAAGGGGUGGGCAGAGGGCUCAAGCUGUGCCUAUCUGAUUCCAUCCAAGGACUUUUAUUUAUUUAUUUUAAAUGCUUCCUUGUUUAUUUUGAGAGAGAAAGAGCAGGGGAGGGGCAGAGAGAGAGGGAGAGAGAGAAUCCCAAGCAGGCUCCGUGCUGUCAGUGAGGAGCCAGACGCGGGGCUCGAACUCACAAACCGUGAUACCGUGACCUGAACCAAAAUCGAGAGUCCGAUGUUUAACUGGCCAAGCCACCCAGGCACACCCCCCCCCCCCCCGCCACUGCCUCCAUCCUAGGACUUUUCGAUCAGCCACAACUAAAGAGCAGCCCUCCUGAUGAGGUCGGCUGCCCGGAAACUGCCUUCAGCCUCUAGCGUUUCUUAGACGAACGUGCUGUGGGCAUUUUGAGCAGGACAGUUGUGCAGAACCAUCUUUGGCAUUUAACAUCUCUGCUUCUGAGUACUAAUUGCCAGUAGUAUUCCCCAAAUCAUUGUGACGACAGCAACAAAAUGCCCCCCCCACCCCACACACGGACACCUGGCUACCACCCGCGGUGGAGAACUUCAUGACUUUUUGCCACGAGAUGGAAUCGUGAGAAGGUGGAGUUUGCCGGGGCCCCACCUACCCCACCAUUCCUUCAGGUCUUUGGUCCUUCCUCAGAGAAUCCUUUUCAUCUCUCCCCCACCUGAAUCAGGUCGCUGUCAUGCCACCCUCUACUUACUGAGCGAAAUUGCAAAUAACAUGCUUAGUGGUGUGGUUGUUUGUUUCACAUUUGUUUUCUCCCACUUAGACUUGUAGGUUCUGCGAAGAAAGGGGCUAUUUUGGUUCCCAAUGACUGAUAUUCAAUAAACAUUUGUAAAGAAAGGGAGACAAGGGGAAAGGAAGGUUGCUUGGAAACUAGUAACGCGUAGUGACUAGGAUCUCCCGCCAACCCACAAAAGCCUGUUCAAUCUAAGAACCUAAAUGUCAUCUUCUACACUGUGUUUAUGAGAGAAGGGGAUGAGCUGGGGUUGACUGGAGAGCCCCAGGAGCCCAUCUGUCUCUCCAUAAAACCAGUGCUGGGAAUUCCCCUGCCUCCCGGGUGGGAGAGGGCCCACAUCACAGCAGCAGGGUCUGCAAGACGGAGGUGGGGGGUGGGAGUCUGGCAGCAGUUUCAUUCACCCCCGCCUCUCUCCUCCCUCUCUCCCUCCCUCCAGCCUUGGCAGUGAUGUCAGGGGCUCUGGCAGCAAGGAAAAGGGGUGGGAGUCCGGGAGGGGCCACUCACACUGCUUUGGAAAUCAGAGACCUGUCUCCUAAAAUACUCCCUUGCUGGGCACGUACGUUGUUUUCUGGUCACUGAGCACAACUUUCCUUUUCCUAACACACUCCUGUCCCCUCGGGGAACCCAUCCUCCUCUCUCUGGGCAGCCCUGGUGGGAUGGGAAACCCAGAGGCCUGCCUUCCACUGUGGAAGCCCAUGGACCAAAUGCUUCCCGCCAUGAUGUCAUACGGUGACACAGCUAAUGGAUUCUCUCCCAGGACCUUGACUAUUUAGUGGGCAAUGUAAAGCCAUUUUUUUUUUUUCUUAAGUGGCCAGAGUACAUUCCCCCACUAAUGUGACCCUGAUCACAUUCCUGCUGCAGGAGCCCAGACAUCUAGUUUCCUGACGGGUGCCUUGACACUGUUCCAUUUCCAAGCCUAAUUCUCUAGACCGCUCUCGAUUCUUGGACUCUCUCAAUAUCAUGCCAAUAAAAUACCCUUUGUCUAAAUGAUCAGGGCCAGGGGCUUUGUGUGCAGCCCGAGAGUCUAGAUGGGUUUCCUGAGGCCUGAGCGAGUCAUUCACUGCAGUUUUAUUUUUGCAUUCAUUCAUUCCAAAUACGGUUAACGAAAGCCCAUUAUGCCUCAUGCACUGGGCCAACUGUUGGGUUUACAAAAACAAACAAGAUUCAGGCCCGGGCUUAAGAGGACACACUGCUUAAAGAGACACAGAAAUUACGAUUACAAUGGAAGUGGCGUGGUCUCUGGCAGAGAGUGCUGGGAAGUUGAGGAUCUGAACUCCUGCCCUCCCUUCAGGCACACUUUCAAUCUCCCUGCCUCACCCGAUGCUUUGGCUUCAGGGGCUGGUGGGCAGCCGGUGCAAGUGAAGAUUUGGGCAUCAUGGGGUCUCCACUGAGACAGCCUAUGAAAACAUUCUCCACACUAAGCUGACUCGGAGCUAAACUGGAGAGCUCCAGGCUGGGGUCAUAAGCAGAGGAUCACAGGAAGAGCUGGAGCCCCAGCGGAAAUUGCCUGGGUUUCCUGGCCCCAAGAGGCCAAGAAGAACAGGAUUUGUAGACAGAGUCCUUCCUGCCCCAGAGGACGGGAGGACAUGGAAAAACCAGGGAGCAAAGAGCUUCUUCCAGGGCCCAGGCAAGCUGCCAGCUUGCACACACUGCCCUAGCCCACCGCGAGGACAGUGUCACCUUCCGCCACCUGCUGGUGCUGCCGCUGGUAAGGGCUUCUGCAAGCAUGCCUGAGCCUCAGGAGCCUGAGGUGCGCCUCCUCUGGCUGCCAGGAUGAACUACCCAUCAGAGGAAACCGAAAAGUGCGCUAAAAUAGAGCCGCUGAGGAGGGAUGCCAACCUCUUCUUGAAUAUUAAAAUAACGAGUUCUUAAGGGCGCUCACCUGUAGCACAACAACAGCCACAUUGUCUUCUGGAACUAAAAAAAAAAAUCUCAGCUGGGGCCCCCGGGUGGCUCAGUUGGUUCAGCAUCUGACUCUUGAUUUCGGCUCAAGUCAUGAUCCCAGGGUUGUGGGAUUGAGCCUCGCGUUGGGCUCUGCACUGAGUGUGGAGCCUGCUUGGGAUUCUCUCUCUCUCCCUUCUUCUGUGCUCUCUCUCUCUCUGUCUCUCUUGAAUAAAAAUAAAAAAAUAUCUCCUCUAAAAGAUUCAGUAGAGAAAUCACACAGAGGAUGGUCACUGCUGAGACUCAAAUUAGUGGCCUGGAUGGUCAAAUAUAAGAAAUAUUUCAAAGCACAGAGAAAAACAUGUAGAGAUGGAAAUUGUGAAGGAAAAUAUAUGAGACAUGGUGAAUACAUUCAGGAAACUUAACACAUGAACUAUAAAUAUUCCAGAAGAAGGAAAGGACGCAGAAUAAAUAUGGCCUCUUUGAGUUCUGUCAGGACUAAAGAAGAAGGGAUCCACCAAGAAUAUGCUACUAGCAUUCCAAACUCUAGGUUAGAAAAAAAGCCUUCCAAACAUUCAGAUAAAAAGAACAUAAGCUCUCCAAGGGAAAUAGAAUCAGAAUGGCACCAGAUUUCUUUACUGCGGCCUUGGAAGAUGAAACACAGCACAAAAACAUCCACAGAUACUGAGACUACAACUGAUUCCCUGACUAGAAUGAAAUAGAACUGCAUGGAACAUGCCAGAAAUCAAGAAGCACAUCGCCCUGGUAGUUCACCUUCAGAGGUGAAAAGAAUGGGUCAUAGACUCAAGCAAGAACUAAAAUUAUAAAACUCCUAGAAGAAAACCUUGGGUGAAGCAAUGGCUUCUGAGAUAAUGUCACCAGAAUCAUAAGCAAAAAUAAAAAUGGAGAAAAAUUGGACUUCAUCAAAAUAAAAAACAUUUGUGCUUUAAAGGACACCAUCAAGAAAGUGAAAAACUGGCUCAUAGAAUGGGAGAAAGUAUUUAUUUAUUUAUUUAUUUAUUUAUUUAUUUAUUUAAAAAAAAUUUUUUUUUUUAACGUUUAUUUAUUUUUGAGACAGAGAGAGACAGAGCAUGAACGGGGGAGGGGCAGAGAGAGAGGGAGACACAGAAUCGGAAGCAGGCUCCAGGCUCUGAGCCGUCAGCCCAGAGCCCGACGUGGGGCUCGAACUCAUAGACCGCGAGAUCAUGACCUGGGCCGAAGUCGGCCACGUAACCAACUGAGCCACCCAGGCGCCCCAAGGGAGAAAGUAUUUAAAAUUUUUCUUAACAUUUAUUCAUUUUUCAGAGAGAGAGAGAGAGAGAGAGAGUGUGUGUGUGUGUGUGUGUGUGUGUGUGAGAGCGGGGGAGGGGCUGAGAGAGAGGGAGACACAGAAUCUGAAGCAGGCUCCAGGCUCCGAGCUGUCAGCACAGAGCCCAAUGUGGGGCUUGAACUCAUGAACCACAAGAUCAUGACCUGAGCCGAAGUUGGAUGCUCAACUGACUGAGCCACCCAGGCGCCCUGCAAUGGGAGAAAGUAUUUAUAAAGCAUAUAUUGGACAGGAGACUUGAAUCCAGAAUGCAAAAAUAAUUCUUUUAACUCAGUAUUAAAAAGAUAGACAGCUCACUUGAAAAAUGGGCAAAGGAUAUGUGUAGACACUUCUGCAAAGAAAAUAUACAAAUGGACAAUGAGCACAUGGAAAGAGGUUCAACAUCAUUAAUCACUAGAGGAGUACAAACCAAAGCAACAAUGACAUACCACCUCACACCCACCAGGAUGGUGAAAAUAAAGUAAGACAGAUAAUAAUGAGUGUGGGGGAGGAUAAGGAGAAAUUGGAUCCCUGUACGUUGCUGGUAGGAAUGUAAAACGGUGUGGCCGCUUUGGAAAAUAGUUUGGCGAUUCUUCGAAAUGUUAAAUAUGGCAUUACCAUAUGACCCAGCAAUUCCACUCUUAGCUAUAGACCCAAAAGUAAUGGAAAUAUCUAUCUACACAAAAUCCUGUACAUGAAUGGUUCACAGCGGCAUUAUUCACAACUGUCAAAAGUGUAAACAAUUCAGAUAGCCAUAAACGGAUGAAUGGGUAAACAGAACGUGGCAUAUCCAUGCAGCGUAGUUUUUUGGCAACUAAAAACAUGAAGUACGUGGGGUGUCUGGGUGGCUCAGUUGGUUAAGUGUCCGACUCUUGAUUUCGGCUCAGGUUACGAUCUCAUGUGUGGGGCUCUGCGCUGACACCGUGGAGACUGCUUGGAAUUCUCUCUCUCUCUCUCUCUCUCUCUUUACCUCCCCCAAUGUCUCUCUCAAAAUAAAUAAAUAAACUUAAAAAAAUGAAAUACUGAUACAUUCUACAAGAUGGAAGAUCCUUAAAAACAUUAUGCUAAGUGAAAGAAACCAGCCACAAAAGACCACACAUCAUAUAAUUCCAUUUGUAAGACGUGUCCAGAAUAGGAAAUUCUAUAGAAAAUGAAAAUACAGUAGUGAUUGCCUAGGGCUGGGGAGAGCCGCUGGGUGAGGGGUGGGGGGGGUGACUGUAGGGGUAUGGAGUAUGCAUGGUUCUCUUUAGGGGGUGGAGGAUGUUCUAAAGUUAUAUUUAGUGAUGGUUGCAUGACUCAAUAUACUAAAAACCACUAGGCUCUAUACUUUAUGUGAAUUAUAUUUUGACAAAGAUGUUUUCAAAAAUUAAAUUAAAAAUUAAUGUCUUUAAUCACACUAGCCACAUUUUUAAAAAAUCGGCUGGUGGCGGAGGGUGGGGGGCAGGGGGGGAGGACUCCAUGCAAACAACAAAUGGACUAGAACAGACACUUUGAGACGAAGGAGUAAAUAUGAGAAGAAACACUGGCAGGCAAUGAGCUGUGCCAUGCACGCCAUGUGAAUAAUUGACUCUAAAUGGAUACUAAUGAACUGUCUAAGCAUAUGAAAUAUAUGUGUUUUAAAAGGUCUCUUGGAAUAGAAAGUAUAUACUGCAAGAAAAUCAAAGUACUUAAAAACCUCGAAGUAGCAGAGCCCAGCAGUGGAGGUAGAAGAGGAAGAAGUGAACGAUUUCCAGAGUUCUCAUCUUCUCAUGGCAGAGUCAAGUUGGAGAGAAAGCGUCUUGGGGACAAAUGCGCGUCUUAGUGGAGGGAACAGUGCGUACCUUGCUUUCAAAAAAUGCAAGAAGGAUAUGUGUCUGAUUACUAAUGUACAGAGAGUGAAUCACGCAUCGAUAAAAGGGAAAGCAAAGCAACACUUUCAAAUUAACAAGGAAGGCGGAGCGGGAAACGGAGUCAGGCACCGUGUGAACAAAUCAGCAAAUGUAAGAAAAAAAAAUUACGUAAAAUAAUUUUUUAAGCAAGCUGGGUUCAUUUCAUGUUUUCUCAUGGUUACACAGGGUUUUUGAAAAGAACGUCACAGAAGGGAAAUGCCCUGUCAUCACAUCCUAUCAGGUGAUAGAUGAUACCCCACAUGACAUCACUGGUGACAUGACUUUUCAUCACUUGCUUCAGGUAGUGCUGGCCCGGUUUUCCGCAUAACUGUCAAUUUACCAUUAUUCUCUUUCCCCACCUAUGUUUUGGAAGCCAACCAGUGAGUCUCCAACCCAGGGAGGGGUUUGGGGGGGUGGGGUGGGAGGCUGGAGUUAAGCUCCACCUGCUGGACGGGAGGAGUAUCUACACAUGUUUUGUUUUGGGAAGAGUGGAAUGGUUUGUCUCUUCUUCCUAAUAUAAAAUAAAUUUUUUAAAAGCAUAACCAUGAGAGGAAUAAAGUAAAAUAUAGCAGUCGUUCCAAUAAAUGUGAAAUAACUAAUUUCCCAUUAAAAAGCAGAGACUGUUCAAUGGGGGGAGAACAAGACUAGCCACACGCUAUUUACUAUAAACAUAUUUAAAACACAGAGGAGAUAUUAAAUAAUUAAUUAAAGUCAUAGGCACCAAACAACUGUUUUUUUAAUGUUUAUUUAUUUUUCAGAGAGAGAGCGAGUGAGCAGUACAGGGGCAGAGAGAGAGGGGAGACACAGAAUCCGAAGCAGGCUCCAGGCUCUGAGCUGUCAGCACAGAGCCCAUUGCCGGGCUCAACCCCACCGACUGUGAGAUCAUGACCUGAGCCGAAGUCCUACGCUUAACUGACUGAGCCAGCCAGGCACCCCGAAACAACUAUUUUUUAAGCAGUAGCUAAUAUCAACAAAAAUUUAAAUGUAAAUGGAUUAACAGGAAAAAGGGAAAAAUUAUGUAUAAGGCAAAAUUUAGGAAGACAGUAUGACUCAUAACCCUGUGUGCUUAAAGUAAUUACAGCAGCUAAAUAUUUAAGGAGAAAACUAUUAGAAAUGUAAGAGGAACUUGAAAUUUCACAUAUAGUGAGAGACUUCAUUAUACCUCUUUUAUAUUUAGACAGAUCCAAUAGACAAAAAAAGAAAAAAAAAUGACAACAAUCAAAUUAGUAGAAAUUAUAUCAUAGAGUACAAUUAUCUAUAGUUACACAGAUAAUGGAAAACAUAAAAGUAAUAAACUAUUAAGUAUUCUGACAAUAACCACCUAAAAUACACUUCAUUUUCAACAGUAACCAAAAUCAAAAAAUACUUAAGAAAUUUAGCAACAAAAGCACAAGACUGAUGUGGAGAGAAUAUAGAAUCUUACAGGAAACAUGUAAAACAAUAUGAGAAAAAUACAUAAGUAUACCAUAAUUCAGUUUUAAAAUUUUUUUUUCCAACGUUUAUUUAUUUUUAAGACAGAGAGAGACAGAGCAUGAACGGGGGAGGGGCAGAGAGAGAGGGAGACACAGAAUCGGAAACAGGCUCCAGGCUCUGAGCCAUCAGCCCAGAGCCCGACGCGGGGCUCGAACUCCCGGACCGCGAGAUCGUGACCUGGCUGAAGUCGGACGCUUAACCGACUGCGCCACCCAGGUGCCCCUGGUUUUAAAACUUAAUACCAAAAACAGUAUUCCCAAAAUCAUUUCAUAAACUUUUUUCCAAUUGAAAUCUCAAUGAACUUUUUAAUUUUUUAAAAUUUCUUUCAUUUAUUUAUUUUGAGAUAGAGAGAGAGCAUGAGCUGGGGAGGGGCAGAGAGAGAGAGGGGGACAGAGGAUCUGAAGCAGGCUCUAAGCUGACAACAGCAAGCUCGACGUGGGGCUCCAACUCACAAAUGGCGGGAUCAUGACCUGAGCCAAAGUUGAACACUUAACCAACUGAGCUACCCAGGAGUUUCUCAAUUAGUUUUUUGAAUUGGAUAAAAUGAUCUUAAAACUUAUAUAGGAGAAAACAAUGACCACGUACAGCCUAAGGAGGGCAGCUUGAUUUGCCAGAUAACAAAAUCUUUGAUAAGGCCAUUAUAGUCAAACUAAUAAUCUAUUCCCAUAAGAUAAGGAAAAUAGAUCAGAACAAAAUACAAAGUCCAGAAAUAGAUCUCACUGUAUAUGAUAAUCUAUUAUAUGACCAUGGGAAAAUGAUGGAUAAUUUAAUAAUUAGCGCUGGCCCCACUAGUUAUUAACCUGGAAGAAACACUUUGAACAUCUGUCUUAAGUGUUGUCCUAGAAUAAAGUUCAGAUUGUUUAAAUAUUUCAAUGUGAAAAAAAAAAAGGCCAUUACAAUUUUGCUAAGACUCUAGAUGAUUACAUAAACAAUCUAGGGAAAGGAAAGACCUUCUUAACCAAGUCUAAAAACCUUAGAGCUGUAAAGACGAGAUAAGCAUAUUUGUCCAGACUUAUUUGUUUGACAGAUAUUUAGUGAGAACAAUCCAGUUCCGAGCAUUCUUCUGGCCACUACUCAGUCAUGAAAAAGUCUCUGCUGUGAGAGCUCUCAUCUUGGGAGGGGAAGACAAUGCACAAACAGAUAAAUAUAGAACAUACCCAGUGCUAGGAAGGAGUGGGAAGAAAAAAAGCUGAGUGUGGGGAUAGAGUGGCAGGGUUAUUCUUCCACAUAUGAUGGUGGGACAGCCAUGAUGGCAGCCUGUCAGAGCUCUCUUCGAGAGAAAACUGCUUCCAGCAGUGUGGUUGAUAACAUUAGCGGCUGCCAUACCUUCAGGAUGCAUUGCUGUAUUCAUGUCAAGGCCAUUAGCUUCCCAAGCUGCUUCCGGCCAGCACCUGAGCACGGUGUAGCUACAACGGGUGGGACCUUCCUGACCCACAUAGAACUCUUCCCAUAGGCAAUCUUUGUUUUUGGAUUCUGCCCCCACGCCCAUCCCCACCCCACCCCCAAGCCUGGCUAAGACGUUCUCAGAGCUGUAUUGUGUUCUGGAGCUCUUCCUACCCAGUCUUCCAGUCUUCCUCCCUCCCCUGUCUCAGCGGUCCUACCUGCAUUGCGCUGUGAAACCCAUUUCCGCCUACUGUCGUGCUUCCUCCCGUGCACGUCUUGUACUCUUCCACUUCCAUCUUGGCCUCUGCUUCCUGGAGGUCCCAAAAUGACACAUGUGGUCAUAGCAGAACUCAUUUUUAAAGCAAAAACACUUGAGCGGGGUCAUGAGAGAAUCGAAGUAGAAAGUCAAGAGGAUAUCAGGUGGAAGAGACCCCCCCAAGAGUGGGAACAGCAGGUGCAAAGUUUCUGAGGCAAAAGCACAGUGGACACGUGGGAAAGAUUGGGGUAUUGUCUCCAGUUCCUCACCCGAUCUCUCUGCUCCGUGCCCUUGAGGUCCUUACCAGUAAAAUAGAGAAUACAUGCCCACCAAGGGGCUUUGACUUCGGCAGUGUGAAUUUGCUCAGCCAACAGAUUGUUAGAAGAGAUAACUUGAGCAGGGAGGCUCUAAGUGUGCUUACAGGGUCUGGCUGGGCCUCUUAUGUUUCUGUGGUCACCAUAAAAGGAACAUGCAUGAACAGCCACUGGUCUUGGAAAUGUUGAAGCUUGGAGCCAGCCUAGCCCAAGUGAGCUUGGCUUUAACCAUGAGGGAGAAAAAUCUAUGUUUUAUAAUCCCCUGAGAUUUGGAGGUGGCCUGUUAUACCAGCUCUUUGCAGAAAUAUCUGAUACCUGAUUAAGUAAUGGCAAGGAGGCCAAUGUGGCUGUAGUGUGCUGAAAGGGGGGGUGAUGGUAGGAGAGCAGACAGAGACAUAACGGAGAGCCUAAGGCUUCAUAGGCCAGAGUCUUUGACUCUUACUGUGAGUGAGAUAGAAAGCCAUUGGAAGUUGGAGCAAAAGGGUGAUGGUGUCACUGACAUCACAGAAGUAUCACCGUGGAAAUAUAUGGAAAUGCCCACGGAAGAGGAAAGAAUAUGAUAAGCGAGGUCAAUUGGUGCCAUAUUAAUUUGCUAGGGCUGCUGUAAGAAAGUAUCACAAACUGGGUGAUAGAAACAGCAUGAUUUAUCAUCCUACAGUUCUGGAGGCUAAACGUCUACUAUCAAGGUGAAGGCUGUGAGGGAAGGAUCUGCUCCAAGCCUCUCUCCUUGCGUGUUAAUAGCUACCCUCUUCCCGUGUCUUCACAUGGUCUUCCUUCUGUAUGUGCCUGUGUCCAAAUUCCCUCUUCUUAUAAAGACACCAGUAAACUGGAUUAGGGCCCACACCAAUGACCUCAUUUUAAUUCGAUUACCUCCGUAAAGGUACUAUCUUCAAAUAAGGUCAUGCGUGUUCUGAGGUACUGAAGUUAGGAGUCCAACAUAUUGUUUUUGGAGAGACACAAUUCAACCCAUAACAGAUGCACAAUAAAUCUGGGGGAAAUUUGCAAAUCAGAGAACAAACAGAAUUAACAUCCAUUUUCUAAAUUUAAAUUUUUUUUUUCAACGUUUAUUUAUUUUUGCGACAGAGAGAGACAGAGCAUGAACGGGGGAGGGGCAGAGAGAGAGGGAGACACAGAAUCGGAAACAGGCUCCAGGCUCUGAGCCAUCAGCCCAGAGCCCGACGCGGGGCUCGAACUCACGGACCGCGAGAUCGUGACCUGGCUGAAGUCGGACGCUUAACCGACUGCGCCACCCAGGCGCCCCAACAUCCAUUUUCUAAAAGGAGCUCUUAUAAAUUGACAGGAACAAGUGUGACAAACCAAUUGAAAAAUGGGCAAUAGACAUGAAGAGGCAACAUACAAAACAGCAAACUCAAAUGGCCACAAAGGUUAUAAACAAAUGCUCAAGCUUUCUAGCAGUAAAAAAAUUUAAAGUGAAAUCAAAUGAAUUAUUUCAAUGAAAUAUUACUUUACACCUAUCAAAGGGGCUAAAAGUAAGAAUACUUAUAGUAUCUGCAAUUGGCAGAGAUACAGAGAAAAGAGUAUGCCCACAUACCAACGGAGGAAACAAACUAACUGCAGCCUUUUAGAAAAGCAAUCUGGAAAUUUAAACUAAAGUUGCAAAGGGUGAACAAUUUCUGAUGAGUUGGUAUCCGGGGCUAUGCAGAUGCCAUUACCCAGCUAAACAAGCGUAACUGGUAAAAAUUAUAUUUAAAAUACCAACAAUUUAAAGUCUCUAGAAAUUGUGCUAAGGGCAUACAGCCAACAAAGAAGUAUUUAUUUAAGAAAGUCUACUUAAUUUUGGUAAGAAUAGCUAGAAUCUACAUCAUUUGAGUAACAGCUUGUUUCUUCUCUCCCCUUGCUCCCAGCUCAUUGUGGUAAAAGUUCUAUUCCAGACAAGCAUGGUCAAGAGGAUGAGGUUCUCUUUCCCUCAACCUCUCAGUCAAGGGUAUGGUAUCAACCCAGGAGGAGUAGGCUGUGAGCAUUUCUCAUUACCACCCACCAACUUCCCUGUACCCUGUAUUACAGAGGCUAAAUUCUAGGCACUUAUAACCAAGCAUUCAGAGGCUCCCUCCUCCCCCAGCCUAUACUCAAAUGUUAGAGACUCUACCCUGUAUGCAGCAGGCUGAGUAUAACUGAGGACCCAAGUACCCUCAGCCCAGCUCACUUGUGGGGUAUUGGUCCCACCAGGAAAGGCAAGCUGAGAAGAUCAGAAGCUACCACCUCUGCCCAAUGGCCUGUUUGUAAAGUAGGAGUCACUCCAAGAUUAGCAGACUACUGUCCCUGUCCCCAGCUCCAAAAAAGGGACCCAGAGAUUUUGCCCAGAGAGACAGGUAUGUCAUAAAACAGAGAGCUCUGAAGCUCUCCACAAUGGAACUGAGUUUAAAUUGAACACAUGUGGGCUUGUAACAAGAGAUUGGUUUAUUAAUUUAAAAAACUUCUCACAAAGAAAAACGUAGACCCAGACAGCUUGAACAGUGAAUUCUACCAAUAAUUUAUUAAUUAACACCAUUCUUCACAAGCUCUUCCAAAAAAAAUCAAAGAAGAGAGAACCCUUCCUAACUUAGUCUAUGAAUCUAUAUUACCCUCAUACCAAAGGCAAAGACAUCACAAGAAAACUAUAGACCAAUUUAUCUUAGGAAUAUAGAUGCAAAAUUCCUCAACAAAAUACUAGCAAACCAAGUCCAGCAGCAUAUAAAAAGGAUCAUACACCAUGACUAAGCAGGAUUUAUCCCAGGAAUGAAAGGUUAGCUAAUAUCCAAAAAUUAAUUAAUGUAAUAUACCAUAUCAAUAGAAUAAAGGACAAAAAUCACGUGAUCAUCUAAAUAGACUUAGAGAAAGGCAUUUGAAAAUGCCCAAUACACCUUUAUGAUUAAAAAAAAAAACAAAACUCAACAAACUGGGAACGGAAGAUAACUUUCUCAGCCUGAUAAAGGACACUGAGAAACCCACAGCUAACAUCAUAUUUAAUGGGGAAAGACUGAAAACUUUCUCCCUAAGAUUAAGAAUAAGACAAAAAUGCCCGUUCUUACCACUUCUAUUCAACAUGGUACUGGAGGUCUUGGCCAGUGCUAUUAAACAAGAAAAUUAAAAAAAGGCAACCAAAGUGAAAAAGAGUAAGUAAAACCAUCUCUUUUCACAGAUAAUACAUUAUACAUAGAAAAUCAUAAAGAAUCAACAUGCACACACACACACACACACACACAUUAGAGAUAACAAGUGAAUUCAGCAAAGUUUCAAGAUACCAGAUUGACUCACAAAAAUGAUUUGUAUGUUUAUACACUAGCAAUGAGUAAUCCAAAAAAAAUUAAAAAAACAAUUCCACUUUCCACUUUGGAAAACAGUCUGGCAAUUCCUGAAACAAUUAAACAUACAGUUACCAUAUAACCCAGCAAUGCCACUCCUAGCUAUGGUUAAUUUUAUAUAUCAACUCGACUGGGAUAUGGUAUGCCCAGAUGACCGGUUAAACCUUAUUUCUGGGUAUGCCUGUGAGGGUAACAUCCAGGGUAAUCUCCAGAAGAGAUUAGCAUUUGAAUGGGAGGACUGAGUAAAGCAGAAGGCCCUCCCCAGUGUAGGUGGAUAUCACUCAAUUCAUUGAGGACCUGAAUAGAAUGAAAAAGACAAGGAAUGUUGAAUUUGCUCUCUGCCUGAGUGCUUGAGCUGGGGCAUCAAUCUCCUGCCCUUGGUGCUCCUGGUUGUUAGGUUUUCAGACUAGAAUCUGGCUUUUAGGCCUUCAAUCUACCGCUGGCUCUACUGGGAGUCCAGCUGGAAGAUAACAGAUCAUGGGACUUGUCAGCCUCCAUAAUUGCAUGAGCCAGUACCUUAAAAUAAAUCUCUUCAUUUAUACAUUGGUUCUGUUUCUUUGGAGAAGCCUGACUAAUACAGUAUAUACUCAAAAGAAUUGGAAACAGAGACUCAAACCAAUACAUGUACACCAUGUCCAAAGCAGUACUAUUCAUAAUAGCCAAAAGGUGGAAACAGUCCAAAUGACCAGUAAUGUGUGAAUGGGCAAACGAAAUGUGGUGUAGCCAUAUAAUUGUAUAUUAUUCAGCCAUGAAAAAGAAUAAGGUACUGAUACAUGCUAUAAUAUGGAGAAGCCUUGAAAACAUUAUGCUGAGAAAAAGAAGCCAGUCAUAAAACAUCACGUAUUACAUGAUUCUAUUUAUCUAAAAUGUUCAGAGUAGGGAAAUCUGUAGAGACAGAAAGUGGAUUAGAGGUUGCCCAGAGAUGGAGGGUUGGGAAGAAGUGAAAAGUGACUGCUAUUGGGUCUGGAGUUUCUUUGUGAGGUGAUAAAAAUGUUCUGAAAUUGUUUGUGGCGAUGAUUGCACAACUCUGUGAAUAGUCUAAAAACUAAUGAAUUGGUUUCCUCAGAAAUAAAAUCCCCAGUACAGAAGAAUACACACUCAAGGAUGUGUAUUGCAUCAUUGUUCACACCAACACAGUAACAAUUACAAUCACAAUUAUAGUUAAGGUCAUGAAAACAAAGUGACGGUCCACCUAUAGGGGGAUGUUUGGAAUCGUAUGAUACAUUCAUGCCAUGAACUCUGAUAUAGUCGUUACAAAUCAUGAAUUCAUUCCCUAACAAUUGCCGUUAGUUCUUACGAGUGAGCAAGACAAGUUAAAUUACUGUGUAUAUAAUAUGAUCACAUUUUUAUAAAAUAAAAUAAGCAAAGACCAAAAAAACCCCCCUGCUUCCUGUGCAUAUAUUUGUGUGUGUGUAUGUGUGUGUGUGUAUACGCAUUCAUAAAAGCUGUACUUGAUCACCUGAGCAUAAAGAGAAGUGCAGAAGAAUGGUCCAGGUGUGGGUGGGUCAUUGGAGCUGUGGAAGAAAAUAAUACUGCUUGGGUUUUCCAAUCAGAUACUGAAAUCAGAUACAUGUCUGACACCUGAGCUUGAAAACAGAAAAUUUAAGCUACUAAAAUGUAAGAUCUAUAUAAUUGACACAUAUGUUCCACAGGAUCCGGUCUCUGCCACUUUCUAAUGUGUUACCCUGGGCACAUUACUUAACUUCUCUGUGCCUCGGUUUCCUUAGUUAAAAGGGAGAAGAUAAGGUACCUGCUUUAGUGGGCACGAGGACUGAAAAAAGUUUGUGCUAAACACGCAAAUCUUGUUGUUUACUAUUUUUUUUUAAUUUUUUAAUGUUUAUUUACUUCAGAGAGAGAAAGUGUGUGAGUCAGGGAGGGGCAGAGAGAGAGGGAGACACAGAAUCUGAAGUAGGCUCCAGGCUCUGAGCGGUCAGCACACAGAGCCCAAAGCGGGGUUCAAACCCAUGAACCAUGAGAUCUAAAGUCAGAUGCUUAACAGACUGAGCCACCAGGCGCCCCUGUUGUUUGUUAUUUGUUAUUAUCUGUGGGACUUGCUCUUGGCUGCAAAUUUUGUAUGAAACCACAGACUAUUCCUGUUCAGUAAGUACAAAGAGGGUUAUUUUUCUUCUCAUUGGCUUUUUCUUCCUCUUCUCCCCACCUUUUUCCCCGGAAUGGAAGGAUGAGUGCUCCCGACUUGUUCUGUGGCCACGGGGAAGUCAUGGCAACACUGAAGGGAGAAACAGGCCAUGUGUCAGGCAGGCAAGUGAUAAUAUAAAUGGACUUAGCAGAUUAGAAAUAUGGACAGCACCUAAUGAAAUGAGAUUUACCUCGGGAGGAAAAUGCAAACUACUUUGUGUCCAGAAGAAAUAGUUCAAUGCAUAUUCAACCUGGAAAGGAAGAGGAGGGUCUCUCGGGGAGAUGGAGAGGAAAGGACGCUGGCAGGAAUAUGGUGGCAUCCCUGCUCUGCACAAUGUGACCCCAGGGAAAGGAGAUCAUUCCUUAUGAGAUGCCCACUGAUGAUCUCCUCAUCCUCUGGACUGUUUAUUUUGCUUCAUUUAGAUUUUCCAACUCUAAUAGAGGCCAGUGGUCAAGUGGUUGAUGUAAUUCGUUCACCAAAAAUAUUUCUGUCAGUUGUAUUAGUCAUUACUUUGGCAGCUUUAACAACCAAAUUAGAACAAUCGCAGACGGUCUGAACCGCUGCUGGGCACGGGUGCCCUCACAAUAAGCACAAAUACCAAAUCUACUAUAGGGGCGGGAGUAGGUUGCACUGCAGAGACACAGCUUUGGGCUCCAAAGCUAAGGCCCAAAACACACUCGGCACAGGGCUGGCGCUGGGUGCUGAGAGGCCAGUGCUCUGGUGGUAGCUCCAAACUGACUGUGGCUGGAGCCUGCCUUCCCUCUCCUGGUGGGUCAGGUCAUCUCAGGAGGCUUUGCGUCUGCAGACAGGAGCAAUGGGCUGCUUUUCAGAACUAAGUAGGAAGCUUUAGUAUGAAGCUGACCAAUUCAGCUGGGAGAGAACCCACUCAUCAUCACCCAUUCGGCAAAUGCUUCUUUAAUUCUCUCCCAAAGCAGCGGAUUCGCUGGGAGUCACAAAGAAGAAGAGCCAGACAUGGCUCCUUGUCUUGAUGACUUUACGUGCCGUCAGGAGACACAGGCUAGUGUGUAAAUACAUUUCAGACUAAAAUUCAGGACUAAAUCAGAUAUAACAAGGAGAGAAAAUAAGAAAUUGCUUCCAGCUAGGCAAGAUCUCAGGGAGAUGGGUGAGGGGGGUGGGUUCUCAAGGCCUGGAAUGGCAGGAGAAACUCAGUAAGUGAAAAUGUUGGGGGAGCAGGGAUACAGAGGUGUAAACAUUCCAGGAUGUGGAAGAGUGGGAAUAAAGGCACAGGGAAGUAGAGGGCUCAUCUGGGGAGUGGGGAGCUGGGCUGGAGCGAUGGGUCUGGGAGCAGAGAGAGAGAUCACAGAGAGGAAGACACGGAGACGUGGCAUGGUAGAUGUAGACCCCAUCCCGCGGGCCUUGCCUACCUCGGUAAGGAAUUUGGACUUUGCUUUGCAGGCAAAGAGAACCAGUGAAGGUUUCUGGUCAGGGCAGUGACAGGUUUGUUGCUGUGCAUGAGAUAGAUUCCUCUGGCAGCAAAGUGCUGUAGAACAGAUCAGAAGUGGCGGUGGAGAGAACAAGGAGGAAAUUGCGCAAUCCCCAAGUUAUAUUGACUAAGGCCUCAGCCAGGGCUGGGCAGUGGAGAUGGAAGGGAGGUAGUGUGUGAGAAGCUCCGUGUGGGCUGGGAACUCUGGGGGAUGAUAGCUUCUCACAAGGAUCAGAGUGGAUCAGUAUCUGUCUCGGCCUCUGAUUGUGACAACUUGGACAAGUGCUUUAGACUUCUCUGCAUUGGUUUAUUCCUCUGUAAAUUGGGGGAUAUAACUCUGGCCUCUGAUACAAUCAGCAGAGACUGGGGAAAAUAAAAUGCAUUCAGCCUCAUGAAGUGUUUAUAGCUCACAGGAAUGAAGGUGCCCUAAAUCUACAACGAUCUUAGUGGCCCCAAAGAAAGCCAAUUGUUUAGAGCAAUAGGAUUAAUGGGUGAUAUUUUUCAGUCCUUACAACCUUCUUGAUGUUGAGCUGCCUCAAUUUCCUUUUUAAAGACACUUUUCCUUCCCAAGGUUGAAAACAGAAAGAUAUGAAGGUCAUUAUAGACCAAAAUGGACAUUAAAGUAGGAAUGUUUUUAUAACUAUUGAGAUCAUCAACACACCUUGGAAAUCACAGGAUCUAUCCCCAGGUUGUACUAUACAUCAACAAGGGAUUUCAUUGUUAAAAUCUGCUGAUUUCCUUUGUGGGUCCCAGAUUCUCGAUUCACUAAAAUCUUCUAGAGCAUAAUCUCCAUCAGGGAAACGAACAGAGCUAUCUUGUUCACCUGACACAUCCUCAUCAAUCUAGCUCGGGCAACCCCCACUCAUUGAAUGAGUGAAUGAAUGAAUGAAUGAAUGAAUGAAUGAAUGAGGGAGCUACAUGGUUUCUUGCCAGGGAGCCUGCAGUGCAUUCUCUUACCAGCAAGAUGUCGCAAAACUAUUUCAAUCAGACCUCUCUAACAACAUAAGGGAAAAUGUCCAAAGGACCCAAGCAAACUUUUUCUAUGGAGAAAACUUAAAUUUUUAAGUCUGUAUAUAUAUUUCUAAGAUUAUGAACUUUAUUUCCUGCAGACCCACUCUUUUCUGUCCCAUUCCAAUUUUUCUAAAGGACCUCUACACAUAGAAUAUGCCGAGGCAAAAAAGGUGUCAUGAUUAACAUCAUCAUUGGGGUCAGGGCUCUAAGUUAUAAGUGACAAAAACCUAUUUAAACUGGCUCCUAUGAUAGAAAAGUACAGACUUAGGCUUGUUCUCAGGCAAGACCGAAUCCACAUAUUCCAACAAUGCUAGCAGGAGUUUGUCUCUCUCCAUCUCUUGGCUCUUCUUUCCUCUGUGUUGGCUUCAUUCUCCAGUGGCUUCUCCUUCAUUGGUGGCUAAGAGACCAGAAACUCUAGGCUUACGUUUUACCAGUCUAAAAACCCAGGAGGAAAAGGAGAACUUCUGUUUCUCAAUGAUUCCAGCUAAAGUCCCAGAAUUGCCUCUCAUUGGUCAAGCGUGGGUCACAUGCCCAUUCCUGCACCAAUCACCAGGACUCGAAUUGUGCAAGGCCAGCCCAGGAGCUGGGGACAUGAGAUCAGUUCUGCUUGAACCACAAAGAAUCUAAGCAGAAGAGUGGGAAGAGAGGUAGGUUCCAAAAGAAAAUCAAGUGCUCUUAGCAAAAUGGGUAAAUGGGUGCUGGGGAGACUAGACUGGCAGAUGUCACCAUCUCCAUCCGUCUGGAAUGAGGAUAAAGAGGGCCGCAUCUGAUGGGCUGUCAGAAAGAAGGUGAUUAAGCCUUUUGCCACUAUGGAUGCUAUGCAAGUGCUCAAUGACAACAGAUGAGAUCCAGCCAGAAGCUGCAGAAAAGGAGCCAGGGAGAAAAGGAGUGGAGACCAAAUGGCAAUCCAUCUUGCAGCCUGAGGGUUCCCUCAAGUCUGUUUUACUACGUGAGAGGCCCAAACUGACUCAGGCACUUUUCAAGUUGCAAAACUUGCUCUCAUGCUCAGCAGAUAUAUUUGAAGCUGUUUUAUGACCCACAGUUAAACAGGAGGAAAUUAAGGGAGAAAAAUCAAGGAUACAGCUUCAUGCAUAAAACUCAGCCAUACAAUUAACAGAGCCCACAUUAAUCACACGUCAGUUAGGCCUCAGUGGUUUGAUAGUUCUUCGUUGGCAGAAAUAAGCGAAUCCUGAAGAGGCAAAGAGGGUUGAUUCCAACAUAACUGAAAAACCUAAACGUGGGCCCUCUAUCAUUAAUUAAUCAAGUAAUCACUCUCUUUGUGGUAUUUAUGUGAUAUUUGGUAAUUGGGUUUUUUUUUUAACGUUUCUCUCCCUUUUGCCCCGUCUCUUUAUCAUACCCAGCAUUCCUUUUAUCUAGACGUUCCAGUGGAAGAUGAGAUGUGUUUUUAAUAAUAAUAAAACCCUUGUGUUUGUAGAUCACUUUGUACUUUAUCAAAUGGCUCACUAGAGCCUUCCAGCAGCCUUUGAAGAUAAGCAGGACAAAUAUUAUUCUCCCAAGUAACUACUGGAGUGUCUGGCUCAGAGUCAGGCUUGAAAAAUGUCAGCAGAACCCAAUUCUCUUGCAGGCAGAGUGAGACAUCUUCUCCUUCUUCUGGAGGAGUAUGUGGAACCUUGGUUCCGGGUAAGGCACAGACAGAUGGGAGUCACCUAAUCAGAACAGAAUCAGCCUUACUACUUGGAGCCCCUGGGGUCACAAGGCAGUUGAAUAUGACUGCAAAGACAUUAAAUAUACCUGGGCUUGAAAGGAAACAUCCCAGGCCUUACAAGCAAUGAUUCCACAGACAGGGAAGAAAAACAAUCCCGUAGGAAACCCAGAUAGAUGCGUUUCGUAAGAUAAUACAAAAAUGCUCUAACGAUCCUCUUGCAUGUGAUGUGGCUAGGAAUUCUCCGCACCUCCUUGAAAUGCUCUAUCCUGUUAGUCCUCAAGCUCUCAGGCCACAAGGUCCAGCGUCUGCAUGGCUUUCAGAAACCUUGAGGAGAGAGUUGAGGUCCUGUAGCUGGGGGACUUCUUACGCAUCUUGCCUUUUCAGACGCAUCUUUCCAAAGCUGAUAAAGUAGGAAGUGUGUUCAUAAGGUGGUUCUUUGUUUUCAAGAGAAAAACAGGGACUCAUUGAAUUAAUACUGGUUCGUUUUUUGUGUGGCCCUGAGGCCUAUGCUUGGAAGUACUAUUCCUACAAUGAUCAUUUUAAAGGCAAAGGCUGCUAAGUUCACUCUUUAAAUCAUUCACUUAUUCAUUUAGUUUACCAACUUUUUCAAGGACGUGAUGCCAAGUUCUACCAUGGCACAGAGGACACAGAUGAGAAGGAACAGUCCCUAACCUCAAUGGCUAGACAUGCAAGCUAAUCAUUAUAAUCACUGAGCACCUUCCAUUUCCAGGUACUGCACCAAGUGCCUCCUUUGUAUUAUCUCUUAUCAUCCUUCCCAUAACCACUGAGGUAGGUAUUAUUACUAAUGCCAUUUUACAGAUGCCUAAACUGAGGCCCAAAGUGGCUAAGUGACCUGUCCAUGUUCCUGUGGCCAGUUGGAGGUGGAGCUGCGAGCCAAGGUCAUGCAGCCCAGCCCACAACACAUAGUCUUUACUCCACGCUGUGAGUACACUAGUCAAGGGAGAAGUAAAGUUUAGUGGCAGCACGAGAAAGAAACAGCAAAAUAUGCACAAAGGGCUUGUUAAAUAUCACAGGAAAGACAGCAUUCAAGCUGAAACCUAAACUAGUUUGGAAAAGACAUUCUAAACACAGGGAACAGCAUUGCCCGAGCACAAAAGCAGGAAGAAGCCUGGUGCAUUCUGUGACGUAAACUAGAUCAGAGAGGCUUGGGCAUUGAGCCAAGGUUAGGGAAGAAUGGGAGGCGGGGCCGGUGAGGAAGGUAGGAUCUGAAUAUCAUGCCUUCAUUAUACACGUUAUCUAUGUAAUUGUCCUCAGAUAUGAAGCAAAUACAUCAUUUCAUUUGUCUGUCAAUUAAUAGUUCUUGCUGCCUGAUUACCAUCAGAGUGAACUCAACCUUAGUUUGCUGAAGUCCAGGAUGAACUUCAGCAGGGUGAUGAACAGGAUACGUUUCACUGUUACUGUUUAAUGUCAAAGAUCUCUUCACAUAAAGACUUUAAUAUCAUGUUUGUUUUGGUCUUAUGUUCAGUCGUAAGAGAGAUAUAAAAUGUUAUAAAUUACCUAUGGAAUCUAAGCUAAUCAGUUUAGAGUCAAACUUGAAUUCAUCAAAAUAUAUCCUUACUCCAUAUAAUUGAAAACGUGUGUAAAUAUAAUUGUUAAAAAAGACUAGAAGAAUAUUUUGAGAGUUGUCUUUAAAUCCUGGAAAAUUUUCUGGAGUUUCCCAAUCUUCUAUAAUGAUUGCAGAUCACUUUUAGGAAUACAGAAAGAAAUUCUGGAUGGCGCCUGGGUGGCUCAAUCAGCAAAGCAACCAACUCUUGGUCUUAGUUCAGGUCAUGAUCUCAUGCUUAAUGAAUUCAAGACCCAGGUCAGGCUCCAUGGCCCCUGGCAGCACAAAGCCUGCUUGGAAUUUUCUCUGUCUCCCUCUCUCUCUCCCCCUCCCCCACUCACGCUGUCUCUGUCUCUCUCAAAAUAAAUAAAUAAACUUAAAAAAAAAAAAAAGAGAGAUACUUAAAAAAAAAAUUUUUUUUCUGCAAUGGAGACCAGACAUUUUUUUAAAUCAAAGUAAUGCACAUACAUAGUUCAAAAGGAAAAUUUUCCCAAAGGACAAAUAAUGAAAAGUAUACUUAGUCCUUCACUCCCCACUCAGUCUUACCCCCAAAGUCAACCCACUGACUCUUUAACAUGUUUAUUCUGUGCUCAAAUAGAAACACUGUUGUUUUUUCACAGUUCUGGAGUAUACAUGUUUUGUUUUGUUUUGUUUUGUUUUUUGAGAGAGGAGGAAAGUGAGUGUGAGGUGGGAGGGGCAGGCAGAGAGAGAAGGGGAGAGAGAUUCUUUUUUUUUUUUUUCAAUAUAUGAAGUUUAUUGUCAAAUUGGUUUCCAUACAACACCCAGUGCUCAUCCCAAAAGGUGCCCUCCUCAAUACCCAUCAUCCACCCUCUCCUCCCUCCCACCGCCCAUCAACCCUCAGUUUGUUCUCAGUUUUUAAGAGUCUCUUAUGCUUUGGCUCUCUUCUACUCUAACCUCUUUUUUUUUUUCCUUCCUUCCUUCCUUCCCCUCCCCCAUGGGUUUCUGUUAAGUUUCUCAGGAUCCACAUAAGAGUGAAACCAUAUGGUAUCUGUCUUUCUCUGUAUGGCUUAUUGCACUUAGCAUAACACUCUCCAGUUCCAUCCAUGUUGCUACAAAGGGCCAUAUUUCAUUCUUUCUCAUUGCCAUGUAGUACUCCAUUGUGUAUAUAAACCACAACUUCUUUAUCCAUUCAUCAGUUGAUGGACAUUUAGGCUCUUUCCAUAAUUUGGCUACUGUUGAGAGUGCUGCUAUAAACAUUGGGGUACAAGUGCCCCUAUGCAUCAGUACUCCUUAUCUCUUGAGUAAAUUCCUAGCAGUGCUAUUGCUGGGUCAUAGGGUAGGUCUAUUUUUAAUUUUCUGAGGAACCUCCACACUGUUUUCCAGAGCGGCUGCACCAAUUUGCAUUCCCACCAACAGUGCAAGAGGGUUCCCGUUUCUCCACAUCCUCUCCAGCAUCUAUAGUCUCCUGAUUUGUUCAUUUUGGCCACAGGGGAGAGAGAUUCUUAGGCAGGCUCCACGCUCAGUGCAGAGCCCCACUCAGGCCUCAAUCCCACGACCCUGGGAUCAUGACCUGAGCCGAAAUCAAGAGCCGGAUGCUUAACCAACUGAACCACCCGUGCCCUGGGUACAUGGGCUUUUAUGCUAUUUUUGUUUUUUUCCAUUUUAGACAUUGAAUUUCCUGUCAUAAGAUUUAGCUCACUUAUAUCACCUCCCACCUGUCCUUCCUAACUUCCCAACAUGGUUAGAACACAUAUUUAGUUUCUCUAUUGUUUGGUUACUUUGAAAUUUUAGGUAAUAAACAUCACUUCCUAUUCCACCAAAGGUAGUCAGUCUCGCUUAACAUCCCCGUGGGUACAAUGAGAACGUGGGCGCUCCCAGUCUUGCCCUUGGCUUUUCUUUUUUUUUUUUUUUUUAAAUUUUUUUUUCAACGUUUAUUUAUUUUUGGGACAGAGAGAGACAGAGCAUGAACGGGGGAGGGGCAGAGAGAGAGGGAGACACAGAAUCGGAAGCAGGCUCCAGGCUCUGAGCCAUCAGCCCAGAGCCUGACGCGGGGCUCGAACUCACAGACCGCGAGAUCGUGACCUGGCUGAAGUCGGACGCUUAACCGACUGCGCCACCCAGGCGCCCCGCCCUUGGCUUUUCUAUCUCCUUCAGCAUUCCAAUCUUAGAACAUUCAAAUUGAUAACAUUUACAUUUGGUCCUGUAAUGAUAAUUAAAUCUUCUGUGCUUUCUCUGUCAGUUCAUCCUAAAAUCUGAAAACUAAUAACAGCAUUUACAUUAUUGUGACUAUGUAAAUGUUAUUCACAGGGGGCCAAGUAGUAUUCCGUGAGUCUAAUUUCUUUCUUCCAUGUGUUUUUGUUUCUCCUGAUUCUAACACUACUUUAAAAUGUUCUAGUACGUCAGGUAGUCUACAAAGUCUCCUUUUUUCCCAGUCAACCUGUCUCCCAGGGUCUCUGGGUUGUGUGCUUUGCAGAUGCAAUGGACACUGUGGCUGAUUCUCCCAAACCCAUCCCGCCACAGAUCAUUAGACUUGAGACAGCGAUCACAUCCUCGGUGAGGACUUUCCUGGAGGUCUUCCCUACAAUUCCGUUGCCCUUCGGCACUUCUUGUCCCCCACCCCCUGCUUUGUUUAUCCCACUAGCACGUGUCACCAUAGAGCAUACAGGUAUUUUACACACGUGUUUAUCAUCUCUUUACCUAAACGGAAGCUUCAUGAAGGCAGAGAGUUUUGCCUCUAUUCUCUGUUUUGCCCCCAGGGCCAAGAACAGUGCCUGGGACAGAGUAGGGACUGCCUGGAAGAAUAAAAGUGACUCCAUUUCCUUUUUCUAGAGAUUCUUCUGGGAAUGGGGAGCACUUCUAGGCCAAUCUGGGGCAAUGGGAUGUGAGGAGACACUUGCUGGGAAGAAGCGAGUCUCUCGCCUGUUAGGUAUGAGCAAAGACACCUUUGCUCAGAUUGCUUCUGGCCCCAUCUUAGGGCCAGGAGGCAAAGCAGCUUUAGGAUGAUGUCAAUUCCAGGAUGACAGAGCAAAAACUUGGCAAAAACCUGGGUCUUUGUUGAUCUUUGAACCAUUGAAUCAAUCUGGGAGACCUCCCUACUUGUGGCUUUUGUUAAGCCAAUGGAUUUUGUAUUACUUGCAGUCAAACAGUCUUAUUUGUUGCCUUCAUUCUGCCAGACACCUGCCCUUAGGAAUCCUCCCACUGCCUUUCUGAACCUGAGUCACACUUUCAUAAACCCCAUGUCUUCCUUUUUUACUUAUUCUCUUAUUUUACUACCACACAUGUUGGACGACUUUCUGAGAAGUCCUUUUUGCUAAGUCCUUGAAUGUCUUAAAAUAUUUUAAUUUCUCCAAUAUACUUCAUGAUGAGUAGGUAUGGAAUUCUAGGAAGAAAUCAUAGUAUCUCAGAAUUCUGAAAACUGUAAUCACUCAAAUUGCCUUUUACCAUCCUUUGCUGCUGAUGGGAUAUUUGGGUGAUCUAGCUUUAUUCUGGAAAACAGGAUUGCCGCAUUUAGCAAGCUAAACCAGAGAAUACUUGAUUGAAUUUGCAUUUCAGAUAAAUGAGGCAAUAUUUGGGACAUAUUUAUUCCGAAAACUUAUCCAUUGUUUAUACGAACUUCUGAUUUAGUUGUGCGUCCUGUGUUUUAUCCUUAACCCUGUUGGAAAGUGUUUAGGAUAUUCUCAUUAUACUUGAUGUUCUGAAAUUCUACAGUAUUUCUAGUUGUGAGUCUUAAAAAAAAAACAACAACAACAAAAAAAACACUUCAUCAUAGUAAUGCUAACGGAGCCCCAAGAAAGAAGGUAUGGUUCUUAUUGACAUGUUUAACUGAUGAGUCAUGGUUGUUUCCACGCCCCAGACUUGGCCUUGAGGAAAUGGAGCAAAUUAAAAAAAAAAAAAGUUUUGUCAAGCUUAGAGUUUAAAAAUCUUUAGAGAAACUAUUAUCACAACAGAAGCAUGGGAAGACUACAGUCUACUCCGUAUAGGGCCUGAUCAUCUAGUUAAAUUAUCUGGUUUGAAGCCUGGCCACCCAACUGUCAUGCCACAUGAGCAUCAGUGAAUGGCCUUUGGAAAGGACCCAGGAUUCAGGCUGAAGAGUCUGGCUUUGUAAGAGUGAAUAUUCUGAACACAUCCUGAAUUUACCAUGUAAUUGUUCUGCUGUGAAAUAGCAUGGAGAUAUACUAUCUCCAAAGGAGAAGAUGAUUUGCUUAUGAGAUACAUAUUUCCUGGGGUUAUCUCUGAGGGAGCUAGCCAGAAAGUAAGUGAAGAGGCAGAGAGAUAAGAAGUAAUCACUUUGGAAAAGUAGUGGUAAAAUCAGGCAAGGUAAAAACAGGUCAAGGAAAUAAGGAAGAAACCUACAGAGUCAAGAGAGAAGAGAUUAAAAAAUAACUUCAGAAUCAUAGAACUGGACAUGACCUUAGAAACUGGGCCAACCUCCUCUUACUGGUAACAAUGCCCAGCCUGAGAGAAUGAAAGAGGCUUGCCCAGAGUCACAGAACCAGACCAGACCAGUUCCCCUGAUUCCCAGUCCAGUGUUUAUUCCACUCCAUUGAUGCUGCCGUUUGGGACCUAUUGCACAACAGCUCUCUUUAAUCAUCUUGACAGCCUUGGAGAAUGAUAAACUUUCUCCGUGAUGAUCUGACUCAGCUCAGAGUAGCAGCUUCACCAAACCUCCCAUUAAAAUGCAGUCAACUCUGGAGGAAUGGUGGAUUUCAGGGGGUUUGCCAAAGGUUCCCCUGACCAAAAAUAUUGCCUGCAUCCACCUGCCCGUGUGUGUGAAAUUAAACCUUGAAAAUGUCUGUUGGCAUGCAAAUGACUACAUUUCACAGUUUGCCUCUAUCUUUGUAGCAGCUCCUUGGCAAAGACGAAGGUCAUGGUGGAAUGUGACAUGUACAAAUAUGUCUUGAUUGGACAGGGGUAGAAUGAUUACACAAUGGACUGAAAUGUAUUAGGACCCAUCAGGUGCAAAUGGCAGCAGGUGCCUACUUCACCAUCAUCAUUGCACAUCAGAACAAAGCAACAGAUUGCUUUAUGCUCUAAUCAUUUUCCUGUCAUCAGAUUUCACUUUUGGUGUCUGAUGUCACCGUAAGAUAUUUUAGUAGACCUAGUUUCCUUGAUUACUUGAAUAAUUCACAUUUUGUAUCUGAAUAUGGGUUGUUUUCAGCAGAACAAAGUCCCUUUAAAUGGCAAUUUUGAUUCCAGCAACAAGAAUUGCUAUGCCUGGACUCAAACUUGAAAAUGUAUUUCCCACAUGGGAAGGUCAUUAGCCUUCUUCUCUUUGUGGCCAAAAGUUAAGGAAGAUCAAGAUUGAAAGAUGGCCACUGGCUUUUGUCAACAAGGAGAGGGUGUAAUAGAGUGAUAGAGGCCAAGGAUAAAUUGCCAAGCCUUGUUAAGAAGUGAAUGCAGGUGAAAAUGUGGGAGAAAUUAAUGCAGACAAGCUUUAGAGGAGCUCGACUAUGACCACAAAGAGAAAAUAUUUUCAUGAAAUGUUUGCUUGAUAUUGAUUAGUUGGUUGGUUUUAAUGGUGGGAGAGACUUGAGCAUUUCUAUUCUGUUGGGGGAAUGAGAUGGGGCCUCAUCUUCUUCAGCUGCAUGUUAUAGAAAUGCCAAUACUGCCAUAAGAAAGUGUGUCCAAGGUCACCUUGGCCAACUGGCCAAAGUAUUAAGAUUUAAAUCCAGGUCCUUUAACAGUUUGUUCUGUUGGGUGCAUGAUGUCUCUCCAUUUUGCAAAUGUUUUGGCUUUUCAGUAGGGCAUGGGAGGAUAUAAGUGGUUGUUUCUGUAAAAAUACAUUUGGAAAGAGGUGUUGGAUCCCCUUGGUCAUGGCAGGGACAAAGAAAGCACAUACUUGAUUAAGUAAACACUUUGCAUCUGUCAGACACUAGGGUAAGCACUUUACCUAUAACAAGUUAGUCAAUCCUCAUAGUAACCAUAUGAAGCAGAUAAAGUUACUAUCCUUAUUUUAUGAAUAAAGAAAUUGAGGUCUCAAUUUCUUAGUUACUCAAGAUAUUACUCUUAGUUACUCAUUGUCUUAGUUACUCAAAGACAUUAAGUAACUUGCCUAAGAUCACAUAGCUAGCAAAGGUCAAAUCAAAGAGUCCAUGUCCUUAACCACUAGACUAUACUAUCUCCCAUGGGAAUGUAGAGUAAUAUUCAUUUAUACCACAAAUUAGCAAAUAAUGUUUUAACAUGUCACAACUCAUUUUUUUCUACCGUCAUAUUUAUUGUCCUAUUUUACCUGAUUUUACUUUCAGAAUAACUGGUUGUGAGACAGCUAAGGCAGAGUGCACCAUCUGCAUUUGAAAGUAGGAACACUGGGGGCACCUGGGUGGCUCAGUCAGUUAAGCGUCCAACUUUGGCUCAGGUCAUGAUCUCGCAGUCCGUGAGUUUGAGCCCCGUGUCGGGCUCUGUGCUGACAGCUCAGAGCCUGGAGCCUGCUUCAGAUUAUGUGUCUCCCUCUCCCUCUGCCCCUCCCCCACUCAUGCUCUGUCUCUCUCUCUCUGUCAAAAAUAAACAAACAUUAAAAAAAAAAGAAAGUAGGAACACUAAAACACACUCUCUCUCUUUUUCUCCCCAUCCCCCCACUCCAACCAAACACACACACACACACACACACACACACACACACACACUUCCAUUAGGAGGUGUGUGACACAAAAUGUAACAGAGCCUGGGCAGGCUCGGUGCCCAAAUUUGCUGCAGAGUUGCCAGGAUCCAUAAGGGAAGAGAUUCAGUCCUCUGCUGUUUUUAGCAAGUAACACCUGGUGUCCAAGGUAGAGAAAAUAAACCCAUUCCAUCAAAAUGCCAGAACAUAGGCCUGCAAGCUGCUUUAUCAGAGAACUAGGUGAGAGGAUUCAUAGGUAAUAACCAGGAAACUAUUUCCUGGUAAUACAAACUCUUAAAAAAAAAUAACCGUAGCAUGUCUUGACCCCUUCUAGACUUCUUCCCCCUUCCAAGUGACCUACAGUGAAUCUCUUGGCAUCCCAGAACUCUUUGGUGAGAUGGCGAUUUGCAAUUAACUUUAGGAAUAAGAGAGUAAACACAAGUUGGUCCCACAUGGUCUUGACACAUAACAGACCAUUUAAAAAGGCGGUAUUCGCCAGUUUGGAAGGGAAUCACUAGUGUGAAGAAGAAAAUCAGCCCAGGUGUGAUUUGUUGAUAAUUUGGAGCAAGGGCCAUAUCUUAUUCAUCCUUGCAACCCCAGCACCCAGCACAAUGUCUAACGCAUAGUCAGUGCCCCGUAAAUUUUUAUGAUGAUUGAUGAAUGUUAGCUAAUGCGUAAUGAUGACCAUGUCUGCCACCAGGCUCCAAUUCUCAAAAACCAGUGACUGUCCUUCUAAAAUCUACUUCGCUGGGCAGAAGGAAAAUCAAAAUGAUGCAAACAACUCUGGUCUGAAAUUCCAAGGGAAUUUUUUCAACUUUUAACUUGUUUGGCUUGUAGCAUUGUGACAUUAAUGAAAGCAAUUCUAUUCUUGGUGGGUAAGUUUCUAGACCACGUAUAAAAUUCUUGAACCCACGUAUAAAAUUCUAUAAUGUAGAAUUAUAAUAGUGUCCAACAGCAGCAUAGAACCAUAUUCCCAUUUUUAUUAUGUUUACUUGGCAAGAUUUAUUUGGAGUUCCAAUCUGAGAUAUCAGAAAGAGAUCUUCUUCUGCUGGAGUCCCAGUUUCAGAUUCUGGAACUCCUUUUUAAACCUCUUUCAACUCUGUCUUACCUUCCAUUACCUGUACCCGCCCACUCACCCUGAUCUGCACCAGAACAGAAUCCACUUCUCUUCUGAAUCUCAGUGAAUGGCAACACCAUCUACCCAGGGACUCCAGUCUAACACUUUGGAAUCAUUCUUACUCCAUAGUCCCCUCACUGCCACGACACACAUCCACAUCCACACACAUACAUCUUAACAGGCUCUCAGGCACCAGUGAUUUCGCCUCAGCCACCACUUUAGUUCAGGACAUUGUCUUUCUGAACUACUGCAGUGUUUCUGUGUUCCAGAAAGAAGAAAGCCAUAAAUGCUGUAAGUCUUCUGGCCAUUUCUAUGCAUUUAAAAUUACCUGAAUCAGAGGUUCCUGGGUGGCUCAGUCUGUUGAGCUUCCAACUCCUGAUCUCAGCUCAGGUCAUGAUGCCAGGGGUUUGUGAGACCGAGCCCCACAUUGGGCUCUACGCUGGCAGUGCAGAGCCUGCUUGAGAUUUUGUCUCCCUCUCUCUCUCUCUCUGUCUCUCCCCCUGUUUGUGCUCUCUCUCUCUCUCUCUCUCUCUCUCUCUCUCUCUCUCUCAAAAAUAGAACAAAUAAAAAUUUAUAAUUACCUGAAUUCAUAGGUUAGGAAGUGUACUCAGGUAAGUACAACAUUGAGGUAAUAAAUGAGACUGUAGAAGGAGAUGAACUCUCCAAAAGGGGCAGACUUAUUCUUCAGGACCUUGGAGAGAACCAGCAACACGGCAGAUAAAUAGAUGGAGGCAAGACUGUAAACGAGGCCAAAUGCUGGAAAGAACUCAAGCUAGAUAUUCCAGUCACAGAUUUUCUUUCUGAUUCUUGAAGCUUCGAAUCCAUUUUUUUUUUCUGGGCUUUUGCACCAGAUGUUUCCCCUGAGUGGAACCCUUUGCCCCUACAUAUUUGCAUUGCCCUCUGCUCCUCACCAUUCAGGUCUCAACUCAAAUGACUCUGCAGUCAAGACUUUCUUCACUCAUUCUUAUCCUAUGUCCUCAUCUUACUUUCUAUGUGAAACUAUGCUACUUAUUCCUGUGUUUACUUGACUGUUGUCUCCCUCACCUUCACAGAAAGUAAGCUCCCUGAAAGAACAGACCAUGUCUAUGUAAUAUCUCCAGUGCUUAAAACAUAUCUGACACCUUGAAAGCACUCUACAAAUAGUUGACAAAUGAGCAAAUGAAAUACAACAAGAAAUGAGAGCGGGCAAUUAGAUUUGAAGUUGAGGAGAUUGUUGAGGACCUUGACCUAAACAGUUUGAGCUAAUGCCAGACACUUACCAUUGAGAUCUGAGAUGCCACAUGUAGAUUUGUGUUAGCAUGACCCAUAUAGAAACAGGCAUCUAACACAUUCAUUGGGUGGCACGGCCAAUGCUACAUUUUCAUUUGUAGACUCACCAAUACAUCUGAACUAAUAAAAGCAAGACAAUCCCACAUUUGGAUCUCUGCAAAUGCAGAAGGGAAUAAGGAAUGUUUCCCCAUUCAUUUCCUUUAGUAAGGGACUUUAAUUUUUCUCAGUGACAUCCAGUGGAGACUGGCUGGGCAAAUCACUGGAUGGGGUGUUUAACCACUCCACAGAGGUCAGUGAGCAAGAGCUAGUGCCCCUGAGCACUCAUUUACAGAAUUAUCAGGAAAUGAGAGUGUCUUGUGGCCGGGGAGCUUGGAUGCUGCCAUCUCUGCUGAUGGCACACCAGGGUGGUGGGGCCAAGGGUCUGCCCAGGAAUUUGGUAAACAGGUUUUAUUUGACCCACACAGUGGCAUUUGAGUUUGAGGUCCCCCACUAUGAAAUGCAAGAAUCAGAUGGUUCUAGGUACUGGGGACAUGAGAGUGAUUAGGAAGAUAAAGUAUCUAUAUGGAAUCAAUGUGUCCAUGUUUCCAAAAAAAGGAACAAAUCUGUGAUACAUCGCUAUGGGCGUGGAUAUUAUGCACUAUUUUGUGCAGCAUCCCCUUGAAAGACGUGGUGAGAUGUGUACAUGUGUACCUGCAUGCAUACACGUGUUCACAUAGGAGACACUCAAUGCGUAUUUACUGAAUAAAUUAGCGAAGGGCUUCAGAGCAUUCAUCAAAAUCCUAACCCCUAAAAAAAUAUAUUACAAAUUACUGCUGUACAUUUUACAGCUUGUGAAUCCACUGUGCUUUUUCUCUCUCUUAUUUUCUCCCAGUUUUAGUCCAGAACUAAGAAUAGAGAUUUAACUAAAACCCAUUAAUUAAUUAUAAAUAGACCUGAUCGAUCAAUCAUCAAUUAGUCUGCUUGCACCCAUUUCAUGUGGUUUGAUAGGGCCUUCACUGCAUGAGUGAAGCCCAGAUUUCUUAGUUUGGACAUAUGGGCUCUCCCCCGGCUCUGCCACGAACUGGUUGUGGUUCUUUGAACAAGUCACUUGGCUCUCUGACCAAAGUUUGCUCAUUUGUAAAAUUAUAUGAUCUCCAGGGCUCCUCUCUCCUUUACGGUCUCUGUUUCUGUGAAAAACAGACACAUAAGAGGUAAGAAGCUGGAAACUCAGAGCACACAGAGUCUAGCAAGGAAAGACCAAGAAGAGAUUUUUUUUUCUUCCCUAAUAAUUAAGGCAAGGAGGCCUCCACAUGCCCGGGCAGCAAUCCAUGGAGGGACAGGAGUGGAACGUGAACUCAUUAGCAGGAUGUUGAGUAAAACUCAGAAAGGAAAAGCGAGUAAUCGGGAGGGAGUCCAACUGGAGACUGAGAAUUCUAAAGAAAGAAUGAAAAAGUACUGCUAAUUAGGUCAUUUAGAAACUGAACAACUGAACGUGAUUCCUGCUGAAGCAAUAGGAAAAAAGCCAGGGGAUGCAUAAGAGUAACAAGAAUACAUGUUAACAGACAAAAGCAGGACCCCCAAGUAACUCAGGACGAUAAGCCACAUGCAAUCCAAUAGAUGCCAAGUAGAAAACAGCACCUGAAUUGCAGCACAGUUUUUCAAAAAUAUACAGAGGAAGCACAUAGUAAGUGCUCAGAAAAUAUUUGCUGAAUUCAAUUGUAUUAUUAAAGGUUCUGGUGUGGGUAUCUGUGUGGCUCAGUUGGGUAAGAGUCCGACUUCCGCUCAGGUCAUGAUCUCACGAUUUGUGAGUUCGAACCCCGCGUCGGGCUCUGUGCUGACAGCUCAGAGCCUGGAGCCUGCUUCAGAUUCUGUGUCUCCUUCUUUCUCUGCCCCUCCCCUACUUGUGCGCAUGUUCUCUCUCACUCUCUCAAAAAUAAAUAUUAAAAGAAAUUUUUAAAAAGUUCAGGUGUGCUUUGCUAGGUAAAAACUCUGGCAUGAAGAAAAUGAAAAAUCUGAGAAAUCUCAGAAUCAUUAUUCCUCUUUAACAAAAGGAUUCACUGCAAGUCUAUUUUAAUUAAGCAGAAAGCUUUUACCUUUAAAGUGUAAAAUUAAAAUAUUUGUUUCUGAAGAUUUUCCAUUGACAAAUAAGAUAGAGCUCAGAAUCGGUGUUUUACUUAAUUUUGCAUCCACUGUUCCCAACACAGUAUCAGGCACAGAAGGUGGUGAAAUAGCUUUCAGCGAGUAAACAUGUGUGUUUUGUUUAUCUGUUGCUACAUAACAAACCUCCCUAAUUUAAUGGCUUCAAACAACAACUUUCUCAUCUCUCACAUCUCCCUAGGUUGACCAGGCUAGCUGGGAAGUUCUUGUGUUCUCACUUGGGUUCUCUCGUGUGCUUGCAGUCGGGUGGCAACUUGGCAUGGGGCUAUCUGGAGGCUCCUCUCCCUCUUGGGGUAGUCUCAAGCCUCUCCCUCUCCAUGUGGACUCUCCGUGUGGUCUUUGAAGCAGGGCAGCCAGUGGCUCAGGGAUUCCAAAAGUACAAAAUCAGAAGCUACCAAGGCUCCUUAAGACUUGGGUCCAGAGCUGGCGCAGCAUCCCUUCUGCCAUAGUCCAGUGGUUAAAGCGGGUCAUUGGUUAAGGCCCAGAGUCAGCAGUGAAGGAACCACAGAAGGAUACGAACAGGAGGUGUGGCUCAGUGGGGCAGUUUUUGCAGACUAGUCACCCCAGCUUGCCCUCGCUCUGGGUCUGCAACUUCCAAGGAGGCAGGAAGCAGCCUUAGAGCCACAUAGCUACAAUCAUGGGCCAUCCUUAUGAAAAAGGAAGAAUGACUCAGAACCAGAGCCCCAAGGAUGAAACCAGGAGCUGAGGAGAACCAUUCCUAAAAAGCAAAACUGUGCCUUAAUCAAGGAACAUUCCCUGCCUCGAGUCAGAGAAAUUGGGACAGGUGCCAGGCUGGAUUUUUCAGGAUUGCUGUAAAUCAGGGACUGCUUGUGUCUCCUCCCUUUCUUUUUCUUUUUGAACAGGGGAAUCAAUUGUAGUUUUUCUAUAUCUUUCAUUAUUAUAUUAUGGGUGGGGGUUGGGGGACAGAUAACCUAUCUUUUGCUAUUCUCUGUACCAGAAGAAGUGAUAGGGACUCCCUGGGGGCAGUCCCAUCCAUACUGGCACCUGAUUUAGUGGGCAACAUCUUGGGCCUUAAACUGAUGCCAUGUUGAACUGGGAUUUGUAGGGGCAAGUGUAUUUUUCAUCUAGAAAGGACCUGAAUCAUUACAAGCCAAAGUAUGGUAGCUAGUCUCCAGAGAUGAUUUCCCAAUGAUCCCCACCUCCCUGCAUCACACCGUUGUGUAGACCCCUCCUUCACUGAAGGUGGGCUUCCCUGAGACUUGAUUUAACAGAAUAUGACAGAGCUGACACUGUACCAGGUAGGGCCUUAGUUUCACAGGUCUAGCAGCUUCCACUAUUUCAUUUUUUGAAACCUUGAACUUCCACAUAAGAAGUCUGGUUCUCCUGGAAAGACCACAUGGGGAGAUGACAUGAAGAGGUCAAGUGGUAAGGGAGAGGUAAGACCACUUAAGGAGGGAAGAGGUCCAGCUGUGCCAGCAUUCCAGCCAAGUCUCCACCUAAGUACAGCUGCAAGAGAGAGCCCAAGAGAGACCAGCAAAAGAGCAACCUAUAGAAAUUUGAAAGGUAAUAAAAUGAUUGUUUUAAGCCACUAAGCUUUAGAGCAGUUUAUUAGCGUAGCUAUAGACAACUAAAACAACAUCAGUGGAUGAAUAUGGGCAAAGUAUACUCUCUGAGGAAGUUAUAUUUUCAUGUGCUAUCCAUAAGUUUCUUUUCUCUAUGUAAGAAAUAUUUGUUGAGCCCUGACGUCUGUCAACACAUCCUUCUUGUGCAUGGAGCAAAAUGGUGUCUCCUUUGUCUCGCCUACAUGCUCUCUCACCCCAAAUCAAGCUUCGAUUAAGAUUUAGGAAAAAAUCUUUAGUUGGAAAGUGAAACGUUUAAUUAAAAAAAUUUUAGUGUGGGGCGCCUGGGUGGCUCAGUCAGUUAAGCGGCUGGCUUCAGCUCAGGUCAUGAUUUCACGGUCUGUGAGUUCAAGCCCCGAGUCGGGCUCUGUGCUGACAGCUCAGAGCCUGGAGCCUGUUUCGGAUUCUGUGUCUCCCUCUCUCUGACCCUCCCUGUUCAUACUCUGUCUCUCUCUGUCUCAAAAUAAACGUUAACAAAUUUGUUUAGUGUGUUUGACACUGGCUCGAGCAUCCUCAGGUCUGAGGGGAGAUGGUUUUGAUGCAUUCGCAACAGGAAACCAUCGCGGAUUCUAGGGGGACCAGUGACAUGAUAAAGUAAUGUUUGGGAAGUUUCAUUUGGCAGUGGAGUGCAGACAGGUUUCAGGGUGUGUGGGUGGAGCCAUGAGGCAUGGGCUCAGAUUCAAGCUGACCUGCGUCCAAACCAGGGUAGAUGGGAAAAGAGAGAAUUUGAUUACAGAACUUAGUGAACUAUGGAAAAUAAAAGAGAGCAUGCCAAAGAUUACUGAGAUUGGGAGAAUAAUGAUGCCAUUAAUAAUAAUAAAAAUAGGGGCGCCUGGGUGGCGCAGUCGGUUGGGCGUCCGACUUCAGCCAGGUCACGAUCUCGCGGUCCGGGAGUUCGAGCCCCGCGUCGGGCUCUGGGCUGAUGGCUCAGAGCCUGGAGCCUGUUUCCGAUUCUGUGUCUCCCUCUCUCUCUGCCCCUCCCCCGUUCAUGCUCUGUCUCUCUCUGUCCCAAAAAUAAAUAAACGUUGAAAAAAAAAAUUUAAAAAAAAAAUAAUAAAAAUAAUAAUUAAUGAUAGAAAAGAAAAAAGAAAAAAAGAAGGAAGAAUGUAGGACAAUUGGAAUAAGCAUCGUUCAUGUAUGGGAAGAACAGAUCCAUCCCGAUUUGGACUCAUUUGGACAAGAGAACAACUGAACACAGCUGUUUUAGAGGCAGUUGAUUGUUAAAAGGAAAAAAAAAAAAAGACGAUGGGUGAAAAAGAGGAGGAUUCAGGAGGUUCUGUGUUUGGCCCACUUGGAAUUAGCAUGGCUUUGCCCCCACCAGCCAGUGAACAGUGUGGCCCAGGCCACAAUUAAUGUCUGGAUCUGAGAUCUGGAAUUCUCAGGUCUUUUCCAGUUACUGCUUCCUAAGACGAUCCUAACACAUCAAGGUGGACACAGGAACCCCAUUGGAGAGUAGAGUGCUAGCAAGGAAGGCCUACCAAAGACCAAUGCUCUGUGGAGGGGCCAUUGACUAAGCUAGUGAAUUUGAACCCAAGGCAAAUAAUUUUCCAACUUCCCCCCAAAUUAUUUAAAAAAAUUUUUUUAACAUUUAUUUAUUUUUGAGAAACAGAGAGAGGCAGAGCAUGAGCAUGCAAGGGGGAGAGAAAGAGACGGAGACACAGAAUCUGAAGCAGGCUCCAGGCUCUGAGCUGUCAGCACAGAGCCUGACGUGAAGCUCAGACUCACGAACCAUGAGAUCAUGACCCAAGCUGAAGUCGGACCUUUAACCGACUUCACCCAGGUGCCCCAAAAUUAUUUUCAAAGUAGUACAACUUCAUUACUUAUUGUUAGGGACUGAAUGCUAUGUCACACCUCAAAAUCAUUUGCGGAAGCCCUAACCCCUAUGUGAUGGCAUUAGGUUGUGGGGCUUUUGGGAGAUGAUUAGGUGAGGGCAUGAAGGCAGAGCCCCCGUGAUGGGUGCAGUAAUCUUAUAUGGAAAGGAAGAUACAUCAGAGGUUCAAUUCUCUGCCACGUGAUAAGGUAGCAAGAAGGUAGCCAUCAGCAAGCCAGGAAAAGAGCCCUUACCAAGAGCCAAAUGGUCAUCACCUUCACCUUGGGUUUGUAGCCUCCAGAACCGUGAGAAAUAAAUGUCUAUUGUUCAAGCCUCCCACUCUCCGAUACUUUAAUAUAGCAGCCCAAGCUGGCUAAGACAUUUGCCCUUUAAAUAGAUACAGUAGCCUGCAUGGAAAUGAACUUGGUGAACUCCUAGUAAGCUCGUAGUUGUUCAGCAUGGUUCAAGCUCCCUUGGGAAGCAGCUUGUACCUCCAAUGUCUGUGGCACUAGAUAUUCCUACAUUAAAGCCAUAAAGUAAAAAUAAACAAUGUUUAUGAAGAUGACGAAACAGAACUGGAGUUACUUCUGUUCUGUCACCCCAUGUGAUCACUUGUAGCUUUUUAUGUGUGUUUAAAAGUUUUAGACAGUGAAACACAGUGGCUGGAGAGAUCAUUUGAAAAUGUGCUUAAAUGGAUCUGAAAUCCAGAUGCCUCUAUAAUGUAUGCUCAAAACCACAAUGUGUGGUUGGGACCUUGUGCAUUAGGACUCCAUUGUAGCUGUGGAGAUCAUUAAGUCUUAAUGGUAAUGCCAUGAUUGUUUAGCACUCAGAUAACAAUUGUUGUUUAGGAAGGAGAAUGUUAUUAUUAUUGCUGGCAUAUGAUGAUAAUAAAAAGCAGGCCCACUUCCAUUCUUUUUUGUUUUUGUUUUUGUUUUUUUUUGUUUUUUUUAAAUUUUUUUUUCAACGUUUAUUUAUUUUUGGGACAGAGAGAGACAGAGCAUGAAUGGGGGAGGGGCAGAGAGAGAGGGAGACACAGACUUGGAAGCAGGCUCUAGGCUCUGAGCCAUCAGCCCAGAGCCUGACGCGGGGCUCGAACUCACAGACCGCGAGAUCGUGACCUGGCUGAAGUCGGACGCUUAACCGACUGCGCCACCCAGGUGCCCCUCUUUUUUGUAAUUAAAAAAAUUCUCCACAGGGGCGCCUGAGUGGCUCAGUCGGUUACACAUCCGACGUCAGCUCCGGUCAUGAUCUCGCGGUUUGUGGAUUCAAGCCCAUGUUGGGCUCUGUGCUGACAGCUCAGGGCCUGGAGCCUGAUUCGGAUUCUGUGUCUCCUUCUCUCUAUGCCCCUCCCCCACUUGUGCUCUGUCUCUCUCUUGAAAAUAAAUAAGCACUAAAAAAAAAUUUUUUUUUAAGUUCUCGACGGAAAAUGCAUCAACUUAUUACCUACACCAAGGGUGGACCAUUCUCACUGCUCUGUCAUUGGCAUGCCAAACAGAGCCUGAUUCUGAAAAACAAUAACCUAGGGAGGUAGCACUAAACCUCCUCAAGUCCCCAGUAUGAAUGGCCACAGACAGAAUGAAGAGACACAUAUUGGAGCACAGACCUUCUCCACAGGUUGCACAGCCCACAUGGGACUCUCUGACUAUCAGAGAAGUCAAACAACUUGCCCAAAUACCUAGUUACUGAGUUGCUACAUGAGACAGACUUGGGGAACUCACCAAUACCUGUCUUUUCUCUUUCUUUGGCACACUGCUGCAUCGCGAUCCCAGCCCCCUUGCAGCUAGGUGGGGCCAUGUGACUAGUUCCAGCCAAGGGAAUAAGGGGGGAAAUAGUUUGUGCCGUUUCCAGCGCUGGCCCUUAAAACAAGUCCUACUACCUACCCCAUGCUCUUUCUCUUUGCUUGUCUCCUGGCUGGAUACCAAGGAUCCAGUGGAGGGCUUAGAGGAGGUGCUAGAUGGAAGGAGCCCAGGUCCUAUUCUACGUGGAUAUACGCCAGCGUGAUCAAGCACAAGCUAGCCUGCCAGGGGACGAGAUGCCACACGGAGGAGAGACAAGCCAUCUCAGCUGAGCAUCUUUGACUGGCCAGCCCCAAUCAGCUCUGCAGAUUCUCACAGAUGUAUGAGACACCUGAUAUACAAAUAUAUAAAUGAGCGGCAGCAUGGGGGAGAAAUGCACCUUUAUGAUGUGAAGCAACCGAGAUUGUGAUGUUAUUAUGGCUGUUACUCCACACAGACACAGUGCUGUAAUUUGAAUCAAGGCCAGUUUGACUCCAAGCCUGUGGUCCCAAAGGGCACAGAAGCAUGACUGAUAACAGAUCCUACCUCCUACUCCAGAUUGCCCAAAUUACACCUGGCUGGAUAGGAAGCUGUCCCUAAAACCCCAUCACACACGAUGUCAUCAGUAGUACUAGACUCCAGGAAAAAUAGCUGUGGAGCUUUUGCUACAAAACAAACCACUUCAAAACCAAGUGGCUUACAACAACAAUGAAAAGAAAAAAGCAAAGAAAAACAUUAUUUUAGCUCACGGUUUGGAGAGUCUGCAGUUUGGGCCUCCCACAACUGAGUGGUUCUUCCAGCCCGGACCAGACGCUGCUAAUAUCAGCUGGGCAUUCAUACAGCUGUGCUCAGCUGUAGAGCCGCCUGGGAGCCGGCUAAUCCAUGAUGGCUUGGCUGCAAUGGCUUACCUCUGCUCCGCACGAUGUCUCUUCCUCCAGCAGGCUAACCUGAGCUUGAUGGUUUGGUGGCAGCAGCAGAGGUUAAAAGAGCAGCAAGAGGAGAAACCUCAGUGCGCAGGCACUUUUCAAAGUGCUCCCUUUAGCCAAAUUAAGACACGUGGCUAUGCCAACAGUGGGGUGGGAGCGCACUACCAAAUGCUUGGAUACAGGAAGUAGGAGCAAGUGUGGUCAUCACCACAAUCAAUCUACCCCAAUAUCCAAAGAUCACUGUUUGGAGACCUGAGCACACAAAAAAAGGUGUGCUGUUGACUUUCCAGCUCUGACCUCCAAACCCCCAGCAAUCCAAUAGCAAUACAAUCUGUGGGGCAACAGCAUCGGUUGGCUUUUUUUGGAGUUUAUUGGAAACCAAGCUUGGGAGGAAAUGACCGAUUCAUUGUUCCUGUGGCUGGUUUGGCAGAACUCUGGAGGCAGAGAGUCGUCUCCAUCUGACAGAAGGAUGGUUCCGCUGGGUGUGAGAAAUCUUCUUCCUGUAAAAAGUGAGUCAUGAUAAGAAUAGAGUGCCAGACCUCCCUCGUACUCGUCAGUGGCAAGGAGAAUGUGACCAAAUCCCUGAUGAGUGCACUCCCUUUCCUGAGAAGGAAGGGCUGAAAGAGUCUAGAAGGAGAAAGAAGAGUGCUCCUGGAGCAGCCGCCCAGUCUGCUCUCUGCAAACGUUUCCUUUUGUCUUGAUUUCUAUGUUCAAAAUCUUCUCCUUGUGGCUUGCUGUUGUUUCUAUAAAAAUGUCUUUUACUUGGCAACAUCCUAGCCAAGAGAGGCAAAAUAUCUAACAAGAAAAAACACAGCUUGUCUGUCAUCUCAGUGACUUAAGGCCGGAACAAUAACUUGUUAUUGAGUUAUGGGUUGCAUUGUGUCCCCUCAAAAUUCAUAUGUUAAAAUUCUAACUCUCCAGGACCACAGAAGGUGACCUAUUUGCAAAUCACGUCAUUGCAGAUGUAAUUAGUUGAGAUGGGGUCUGCACAGAGAAAGAACGGACUUGUGAUGACAAAGCAGAGGUCGUGGUGAAUCAGCGGAAGCUAAGGAACCCUAAAGAUUGCCAUCCAGCCACUGGAAACUAAGAGCAAGGCAUGGAACAGCCUUCAGAGGGAACCAACUCCACCAACACCUUGAUCUCAGACUUCUGGUCUCCAGAACUAAGAUGAUACAUCUGUGUUGUUUAAGACCCUCAGGCUGUGGUACUUUGUGUUACUGUAGCCCUAGCAAAACAAUACUGGAGUGAGCAAUGUUAGAAAUAAGCCCACCGACCCAAUCAAAGGAGGGAACAGUGAAGUGAGGCUUUAAUCAAUCUUCUUGCAAGAGCUGGUGUCUGAUAAACAGGCACACUAGGGGCAGUUACAGCAGACAGUUUAUCUCCUAGCGUGCAAGUCCCUCCCCUGGUUCCUCAUUGGCUGAGUACUACAGAGGCAAGUCCCUCCCCUGGUUCCUCAUUGGCUGAGCACUACAGAGGUUGCAGCCUGACGUGGAAGUCCCCUAUGCCCACAUAAGGCAAAAAGUAGUCUGAUUGGAAUAAAUGUACAUUUUCUGAGGUGACCCAGAGACUUUCAGUCCCUCCUCCCUUUGUUCUUUGGCGCAUGCUCAUUGCAAAGCCUGGGGGAACAAGCCCAGAAAACGGAGGGGGGGAGGGGGUAGGGGGUUGGGAGGGUGGAGAAGAACCAGGAAGUGAAGUGUCUAAGGGUUUGGGAUACCUCUGUGGGGGUGAAGGGUUGUACAUAUUUCCAAUAGGUUGUAAACUUACUGUUAACCAGACAGCACAGCUUUUAUUUGGUAUUUCUGAAAAUGAGUCAUCUCCCUUACUUCUCACAGCAACUCCCUAUAUCAUGGGCCAUUUCCACUCAUUUUCUCUUCCACUCCUUGACCCCAAGAGUGUUGGCCCCGGUUGCAAAUGAGAACACUGAGGCUGAGUUAGCAUGGUCAGAAGCCAGGCUCAAGCCCAGGUGGCCUGAACCCAUCUGUGCAUUUUCCUUUACACAAUGUUGCUGCCUCUUGGUUGCUGACAAAGGCUGACGGCAAGGCAAAGGUUGGGGCAGCAAUUCUAAAGGCAGCUACACCCACCCCCAUUGUGCAACAGAAUGGUUUAGGAAAGAAUUUGUUCUUAAUUGAUUCUUUAUAAACUCAAUGAUGUUUUAAGUGUUUCCAGGAGUUCCCUAUUAAAAGGAGCCCUGUGGGAGACCCUUUUGUGUAACAAAGGGUCUUUCUGGGUUGUGAAUGAUAACCUUACCUCCCUCUAAAUUCAUUUGCUUUGCAAGUGUAAUUUGUUCUCAUAGGAGAGGUUUUUGAGAAAGCGGGCUUGCCUUCAGCCCUACACCUCUGCCUUGGCUGGCGGGGGCUCGGUAAAUGCUCGCACUUGCCAUUGUGGUUGAUGGCACUGAAGGACGCCCACAAGUUGCACUGCCUUUUAAAUACACGUGGUGUCUGGAAUGAUUUCCUCCCAUUUCAAGCCAUUUUCAGCAUCCUCAACUUAAAAUCACUGCUUGGGUAGAAAAAGGGGAAAACAUCAUUUUGCUAAAUGCCAACAUUUAGCUAUUAAUUACUGCCUACCUAUUAGUGAGCUUUGUGUUAAUUACUAUUCCGAAUACCUAGGUACUUGUAAAUUAGCAGGUGCUUCACUUACUUUCCUCGGUCUGUCUUUAGGCUGCCUGUACGAAGGAUUCCCCUUGGGAGAUGCAUAUAGCCCGCUGGAGAGGCAAUGGCGGUGGCCGGAGUCGCUAGAAUCUUACGACUCGAAUAACAACCUCUAUUUGAGAAUACGGGUUGCCAAUGUUUUAGAUAAUUUUCAAUGUUCUUUCCUGCAAUAGCUUUAUUUUAGUUAGUUAGUUAGUUCACAAGCUCAACUGAGUAGCUACUAAGUGCCAGGCACUGUCCUUGGCCCUGAAGAUGCAGAGAUGAACAGAGGACUCCAGCCCUACCCGUCACUCCUCACCAUUUAGUGGGAGGAUACACAUGUAAGUCAAUAACCACAGCAAUGUGGUAAGUGCUGUAUCAGAAGGCUGGAGAAGGCAAUUGGGGAGCGCAAAAAAAGAAGCGCUACACUUUGCUGGAAAUGGCAAAAACCAUUUCCCAAAGUUGGUGGCAUUCUCACUAAAUCUUGAAGGAUGAGUAGGAGUAUGACAAAUGCAUAAUGUGACAAAGGACAUUUCAAGAAGAGAGAGUAGUGCAUGGAAGAUGCAGUUAUGAGCACCUGGUGUUUGGAGACUGGUGGGUGGCUAGACAUAGGAGGUGACGAGAGAGUAGCAGAAAGUGAGUUUAAAACCAGUUUUCUGGGGGCAAGAUCACAAGAGAGCUUGGGCAUUAGUCGACCAGUCAUAGGGAGCCAUUGAGGGGUUUUACCCUAGAGAGGAGGAUUGACUUGAUUCAAUGUGGUCUGAAAGGUGAAGGGGCUGGAGGCAGGGAACUGAACGGGGAGACAAUAAUAGUGGAUGAAGAUCCAAGCUGGGAAAGCAGCGGUGGAGACGGAGAGAGGCACAGUGAUUUAAGCAAUAACAGCAAGGUCAGAUUCUAAAAGUUUGUCACUGGGAGAUGAGACAGAGGAAGGGUCUGGGACAACCACACAUCUCCAGCUUGUACAUCCAGCUAUACUAACCCAAAGUGGGUGAUGCGGGCAGAAGGGCUUCGUUCCCAGUAUUGUUUGUUUAAAAAAAAAAAAAAGAGGGGCGCCUGGGUGGCUCAGUCGGCUGAGCAUCCGACUUCAGCUCAGGUCAUGAUCUCACGGUUCAUGGGUUCCAGCCCCGCGUUGGACUCUGUGGUGAUGCCUUGGUGGCUGGAGCCUGCUUUGGAUUCUGUGUCUCCCUCUUUCUGCCCCUCCCCUGCUUGCACUCUGUGUCUCUCUCUCUCAAUAUUUUAAUGUUUAAAUAACAUUAAAAAAUAUUCAAAAUAAAUUAAUUAAUUAAAUAAUUUUUAAAAAGAGAAAGAAAGAAAGAAAGAAAGAAAGAAAGAAAGAAAGAAAGAAAGAAAGAAAGAAAGAAAGAAACCAGCCCAGAAUGGCGUCAUUUGCCCCGACAGAAGCAAACCAAGACUUAAUUACAGUUUUGACCUCCCCAGGGAUGUGACCUUUUAAAAGUUAAUCAGAAAAUUUCUGAUUAGCCCUAGUGAGGUAACCUGCAUGAAAAAAUAAAAUAAAAAAUCUUGCUGCUGUGUGUCAACCAAACUUCAAUUAAAAAAAAUAUUUUUAAUUGUAUUUUUAUCCAUAGCCAAAAAAAAAAAAGAAAAGAAAAGAAGAAGAAGAAAGAAAAAAGAAAUUCUGAUGUUUCCUUACCUCCAAAAAGAUGUCAGGGCCUGAAACAAUCCUUCUCCUCUCUCUCUCUCUCUCUCUUUAGCUGAUAACUUCCUGCCCCACCCUCCUGCCUGUAAAGACCUUCUAUUUUGUACACCUGCUCAGAGCAUCUUUCUACUUGCUGGAUGGGACGCUGCCCAAUUCAUGAAUUGCUUAAUAAAGCCAAUUAGAUCUUCUAAUUUACUCAGCUGAAUUUCGUUUUUAACAGUAUCUUUGGGGUGCAGACAUUGCAAGGAAGCUUCCAGAGGUGAGAUUUGUGCUCACUCCUUCAAGGGUAGUUUAGGACCUGCUCGCUCACUCUGCCCCAGCUACUGUUAGGACCGUAGUCCCUGAGCGACAGAACAGGUGAGUCCUGUUUGCAUUCUCGUGAGCAGGAAAUGCUGGCUCUAGGUUUUUCAGCCAGGGUUCCAGGGACACACAACAGAACCCCCCCUUCGGCUGCCGUAAGUAGGAAAAGAACUUAUUAAAAGAUACUGAGCAGCUCAGAAAAAUCUCCAGGAGGGCUGGAAGGGCAGGUCUGGUGGCCCCACGACUGAAGUCAACACGAGGACCACACUGUGGAUGGCUUUCUGAGGAGAUCUCACGGGGCGGGGGGGGGGGGGGGGGGGGCCGCGACAGCACACAGUUCACACCCUUGACCUUGGGCGCUGGAAGCCCCGAGCUCUGCUGCCCCCAGGAGCCAAGUGCCCCAUAGCCUCCCUCAUCAGAAAGCAGUUUCCAGCACCUGCUUCCUCAGUCCCCUGUUUUCCUAACUGAAGUCUCCGGGCAGGGUAUCUGAUCGUCAGAACUUGCAUCUAUGAACGAAGCCCGGCCGCAAGGCAGUCUGGGAAAGCCAGGGCCAGGCUCUUCCCUUGGGGAGGGGCGGCUUGUGUUGCAGAAAAUACCCCAAACGUAAGAGGGAUUUUAAAACAUGUGAGUAGGAAGCAGACAAACAUUAGCUCCAGAGGGCUACCGUUGGAAGAAGAAGCUGGAAUUAAGUGAUCUCUUCCUCCUGGGGCUUGUGAAUCACUGCUUUGGUAGAUUUCUACUUUGUACUAUAGUUUUUCUUCUCCCCCACCCCACCCCCCCGGCUGGAAAACUCCCUGUGGCACGUGAGGUGUCAUUUUCCGUUUUGUGUGCCGCGUUGUUGGUGCCGCGAACCCAGGAUGGGCUCACAAAUGUGUCUGUGUCCAAGCCCAUAACAACAAUAGAACUCUCUGUGCUUCCUCAUUUGGUGAGUACGUCUAGGCACCUAGUGUGUGUCCUGAACGUGUUGUACACCCCAGCUGCUUUAGCAGACGUACUGGACACACGUAUGCUCACGCCCUGUAGUCACAGGGCCUUCUAUGCAAAGUGCACAGAGAUGACAUCUGACUUUUGUCAUCACUGUGGUAACCUGUCAUCCUUAUGGGAACAAUCGCAGUUUGUCCUGGGAAAGAGGCCUUCAUUCGUCAUUCCGGGAGGUAAGAGCCUUCUUGGGCAGGGCCACCCUGGCUGUACCUACUUGACAUUGGUUUCUAUGGACACGGCCUCAAAAAAAAAAAAAAAAAAAUGAAACCAGAAGGAAAAAGUACUGAGUUCCAAGGAGACGUAAGAAAAGGACCUUCUAGGCCAUUUAGUCUUUGAAAUGAGGAUUCUAAGCCUGCGGGAGAGGCUUAACCUACUGAUAACUCUGUUUCAAUCUGUCUUUUCCAAGAGGAACGCUCAGGGACACUCACCCAUCCAAGCUGCCAGUUCCCCUGCAGCCCAGGGGGCUGCCCGACUCAUUCCUUACCCCAGCAGGGCCGCUCCACCCAGGAGAGCUGUAUUACGGGAAGGAGAGAAAGUCAUUUAUCACAACUCUGCCACAGAGUUAGUCAUGAUCCCAAGGGGCAGAAGUGAGGCCCUGGGCGGAUGGCUUCACUUCUCAGUCUUGAGUUUCAGUGUUGUGGUGUUAGGAGGCCCCAUGGGGUUAUGGCCUGUUUCCCUGGAAACACAGGCAGGAAUGGUCUUCAAGAAAGCCAGGCAAAUCCACUGUGACCAGGGGCCCGGGCCCGACACUGCCUGCUGCCUUCAGCAACUUCCAGCUGAUUGGGGCAAGUGAGUUCACUAGAAUCAAGGGUGAGGUCAAUGCGCCAGCCCCCAGCGAUAAUGGGGGCUUCUGUAUCUUGCUCCAGUAGAGCUUUAAGGAGAGGGGCGCCUGCGUGGCUCAGUCAGCUAAGCGUCCAACUUCGGCUCAGGUCAUGAUCUCACGGUCCGUGAGUUUGAGCCCUGCGUCGGGCUCUGGGCUGAUGGCUCAGAGCCCGGAGCCUGCUAUCGAUUCUGUGUCUCCCUCUCUCUCCGCCCCUCCCCUGUUCAUGCUCUGUCUCUGUCUCAAAAAUAAAUAAAUGUCAAAAAAAAUUAAAAAAAUAAAAGGGUAGAGAGUGGACUUCUGAUCUGAGGCAGAGUGGAACCAAUUAUGCAGACUUUCAGCAUGUUGAGAUUGGUCCCUUGCUCCUUAUCACACUGCAGGUGUCCACGUGCCAGGUUUUCAUGACCAUGUGCCAAUCUUUGGGAUCUGAGUCUUCUUCAAAGCCAAGUCUUUAAGCAAUCUCAUUUUAAGUUAUUUUAUAUCUACUUUCACUUCCAAAUAAGAUGAAAUAAACAGCUAAAAAAAACCUGGAUUAAGUGUAUGGAAUGACAGGUUUCGGACAUUGGACAACAGGCAGUAAAGGACAGGGUUCCCUGGGAAAGAAGGAACAAACAAAAGAAGCCCUAUGGGGUCCCAGAUUCAUGUCUGAGUUUCCAGAACACAGAACAGAGAGAGGAGACCCAGGCAAAGAGUCUUCCUGAGUUGGGAGGUGGAGUUGGGAGUCUGGGGAACCCAAGGCACCUAGAGUUCACGUGCACCCUAGCAAAGCAUUAGUGAAAACAGACCUGCACAGACAGAAAACUGCAGAGAUCUGCAGAAGGUUCCUUUGGAAUAUUCGGGUGAAUACUGAUUAGUGCUUACAUGUGAGGAAACUAGCUGAGGCAGAAGAAAGACCCACCAGAAAAGACCAGGAGAAAUGAUUCCCAAAGCUCACACAGAGCUGGGAGUCAUUUGCAACAAUUAGAGUGGAGAAACCUGAAAUAUUUGAGGUAUCAGAAAUCGUAUUCAAAAGAGAAUUGCCAGGUUACCUCCAAACAAAAGAUUGGCUGGUAUCGCUCAGCAAAGUUCAAAGCAAGCCUCAAAAGGACCACAUUGUUUUGUUUGGUUUUUCUUAACUGCAUCCCAAACAACGCACAAAAGCCUGUAAGGGAGUACCAAAAAUUCAGCACCCAAAAGCAUAAAAUGCAAAGUGCUUAGCAUCCAAUGAAAAGUUAUUAGACAUGCAAAUAAGAAAAUACGUAUGAUCUUUCAUGAGGAAAAAAAAAUCAACCAAUAGAAACAGGUCCACAAAUGGUACAGAUGAAAGAAUCAUUAAGGAAAGACAUUGUAAAUAUACUGUAUAUACUCAAGAAGAUAGUGGAAAAUGGGGCACCUGGGUGGCUCAGUUGGUUAAGCAGCUGACUUCGGCUCAGGUAAUGAUCUCACGGUUUGUGGGUUCGAGCCCCGCAUCAGGCUCUGUGUGGACAGCUCGGAGCCUGGAGCCUGCUUCGGAUUCUGUGUCUCCCUCUCUCUGCCCCUCCCCCACUUGUGCUCUGUCUCUCUCUCUCUCUCUCGAAAAUAAAUAAAAUGUAAGAAAAAAAAGAAGAUAGUGGAAAUCAUAAGCAUCAUAAAGAGAGAUGUGAAAGAUAUUUUUAAAAGAUCCAAAUUGAACUUUUACGGAUGGGAAAAACAUCUAAGAUGGAAAAAUACAAUGGAAGGUAUUAGCAUUAAGAGCAGAUUAGACACAGUAGAAGAUAAGAUUAGUGAGUAGCAAUAGCAAUACUCCUAGAAAUAUUCAAAAUAAACUGUAUGGUGAAAAAACAUUAGAAAAAGCGCACAAAAUAUGAAUAACUUCAAGCAGCCUAACAUAUAUGUAAUUGGUGGCCCUAAAAGAGAGGAAAAGGAAAGAGGAAAAGGAUGUAGAGAAAAAUAUUUGAGGAAGUAGCAAAGAGAUCUUUUUUCCAUAUUUGGUGAAAACUAUAGACACAGACCCAAGAAAUUCAAAAGAGCAAACAUUAUCAAAAAAGUAUACCAAGGUAUAUCAUAAUCAGAUUGCUUAAAACCCGUGAUAAAACAAAAAUCUUAAAAACAGAUUUUUGGGGUGCCUGGGUGGCUCGGUUCCUCUCAGAGGAACAAAGAUAAUAACAAGAAAUAUGUCUUUGGAAACAACACAAACCAGAAGAAAGUAGAGCAACAUCUUUAAAGUACUGAAAGAAAAACCCAUCAACCUAGAACUCCCUAUUUGUAGAUUAAACAACACACCUAUAAGUAAACCAUGGGUCAAAGAAGAAAUCGCGAGGGACAAUAUAAAGUAUUUUGAAUGGAAAUAAGACAAAUCCCAACAUAUCAAAGUUUAUGAGAUACAGUGAAAACAGUACUAAGAGAAAAAUGGAUAGCAUUAAACACAUGUUAGAAAAGAAGAAAGGCCUCAAAUCAAUAACCUUAAGAAAUUAGAAACAAUUAAAUUAAACCUCAUGUAAGAAGAAAGGAAAUCAUUAUAACAGUCUAAAUCAAUAAAAUUUUAAAAAGAAUAACAGUAGACAAAAUCAAGGAAACCAAAAGCCAAUUCUUUGAGAAUGUCAAUAAAAUUUAUAAACCUCUACACACAUUGAUCAUGAAUUAAAAAAAGGAGAAGGCCCAAAUGACCAAUAUCAGAAUGAAAGAGUAGAUAUCACAACAGAUCCUAUAGAAUUAAAAAAAAAUAGAGGCAAACCAGGAAACAGACUAUUAACUACAGAGACCAAAGUGGGGGUUGCUGGAGGGGAGGGGGGCAGGGUGAUGGGUUAAGGAGGGCACUUGUGAUGAGCACUGGGUGUUGUAUGGAAGUGAUGAAUUACUAAAUCGUACACCUGAAACUAAUAUUACAGUGUAUGUUCACUAACUGGAAUUUAAAUAAAAGCUUGAGAAAAAAAGAUAACAAGGAGUACUAUAAACGACUUUGUGCCAACAAAUUCAGCAACUUAGAUGACAUGUUGCAAAUUUCUUAAAACGCAUAAUCUACCAAAGCUCUACCAAAGAGUAGAUAACCUGAACUGUCUUAAAGCUACGAAAGAUGGAUUUUGUAACCAAAAAUCUUUCCACGAAGAAACUCCAGGCCCCGAAAACUUCUCUGGAAAAUUCUACCAAACAUUUAAGGAAGAAAUAAUACCAAUUCUACACAAACUCUUCCAAAAAAUUAAAGAAGAGUAUGGUAAGCAGAAUAAUGGUUUCCACAGAUGCCCAUGUCCCAAUCCCUGAAACCAAUAGAUGUGUCACCUCACAUGGCAAAAGGAACUUUGUAGAUGUGACAAAACUGCGAAUCCUGAGAUGGAGAGAUUACCCUGCAUUAUCCUAGUGGGCCCAAUGUAAUCACAAGAGUCUUUGCAAGUGAAAGAGAGAGGCAGGAGAGUUGAAAUAAGGGAUUGAAAGAUGCUAUACUGAUGGCUUUGAAGAAGGAAGGCGGGGCUGUGAGCCAAAGAAUGCAGCAUAAAAGGCAAGGAAACUGACUCUCCCUAGAGCCCCCAGAAGGAAGUCAGCCCUGCCAACAUGUUGAUUUUAGCCCAGUAAGAUUCACUGUAGACUUCUGACCUCCAGAAUUGAAAGAUUCACAAAUUUUCCUUGUUUUAAGCCAAUAAAACUGUGCUUAUUAGUUCAGCAGCAAUAGAAAAGUCGUACAGAGAAUGCUUCCAAUGCAUCCUAUGAAGCCCGUGUUAUCUUGAUAUCAAAACUAGACAAUGCCAUUACAGUAAACCACAGAGUAUCAGCACUAGACGUCCUUAGCAAAGUUAAGCAAAUCUACUCUAACAACAUAUAAAGAAGAUAAGUCCUCAUGACCAGAUACGGCUUAACCCAGGAAAGCUAUUACGGUUCGAUGUUCCAUUGCUUUUCCAACCUGCUCCCAAUCCCUUUGAUAGACUUGGUCUCCAGCAUCCCAUCCUAUGUCAUCUUCCACCCCAUUUCACUCUUCACUCAGAAUUUGUCUGCAUCGGACUUCUCUCCAUUUCCUAAAUAUAUAAAGUACCUCCAUGUGCUCAUGCCUUUGCUCAUGCCAUUCCUCUGUGAACACUGUCUUCUCUAGCCUUCUUCCUGGGGACACUUAUUCACCCUUCACAUCCUAGAGCAGAUCUCUGCUUGUGCUCUGAGAAACCUUUCCCUCCAGCCUCAGGCUCUUCUUCCCCAUCUCCCUAUCUCUCUCUGCAGCAUUCCAAUGGGACCUGUCUUACAGGAUUUCACCUUCUCUUAUAAUUCUUACUUUCCUCCCAGACUAUGAGUUCCAUCAGGGCAAGAAAUGGUGUCCAAUUCUUCUUUGAAUCUUCAAUGCCUAGCACAGCGCCUGCCAUGUGGGAGACCUUUCAUAAAUUACUGAUCAAUUGGCACUUUAAUAGAGAGUAGUUGAUAGUCACUUGAGAUACAGUCUAGUGUUCUGCGGGACAGAGGGAACUAAUCUACAAGGAAGAAAUGAGCCUCAGAGAUUGGAAGCGGUCCAAAAAGAAACACAUCAUCUUUCCACUCAAAAUUACAUCAUCUAAUUGGCAUGCUGAAGCAUUUACACAUACGAUAUUCUUUUUGAGGGCAAUAAGGAAGAUGGGAUUAAUCCUACUUUUCCAUGAGGAAACUGACGCUGAGGAGAAAUAAAUAGUUACCCAACAUUAUGGUGUGAGACAGUGGCAGAGCAGUGACAUCCACUCCCAGGUGGCUCACGAUACCCCAUAUGCCGCAGUUGCCCACCCCUGCCUGAAGGAAGUGAAAAUCAAUUGGGUCUUUGUGCUGGACUGCAGGCAUCCCAUCUGGAGUUCUGAACUGCCUGCCCUCCGGAUAACUUCCACUGCAGGCUAAGGUGUCCCCAGCCUAGUAGCAACCCUGGCUGCCCCUUGACCUCUAGACCUUCUAGGCAUUGCCCUCACCUCUACCAAAGCACUCAGUCAGAACACUAACAAAAAUGGGAAAGAGAAUAUGUUUGAGUUGAAAAUAGGGAUGCCUACGUAGCUCGGUCGGUUAAGUGUCCACUCUUGAUUUUGACUCAGGUCAUGAUCUCACAGUUCAUGGGAUCGAGCCCUGCAUUGGGCUUGGUCUGCUUAGGACUCUAGCUCUCUCCCUCUCUCUCUGCUCUGUCCCCCGCUAACCCCGUCCCCUCUCUCCCUCUUUCUCUCUCUCAAAAUAAAUGAAUAAACUAAAAAAAAAAGAAAAGAAUUGAACGUAAGUAGGUACAGCCAAUAGCCCAGUGAGCUUCCCCAUUUUACAUCUUAGGAAUCACCUAAUAACCCAGACACAGUCCACUGGCUCCACGGCCAUGGCAUCUUCCAUCUUGGAAGUGUUGGGGGGGGCGGUCUCUGGCCAGUCUAAUGUGCCCGAGAGUGACCCCUCUAUUUACGUGUGACACAUACCUCCUCACACUGAUACCCCCAGUCUGUUUUUUGAUUUCUACCACAUCUGCUCAUAUAUCUUCAACCUUACGUAGUCUGUUCAUUGUGUACACGUCCCCGUGCAACUUGGGUAAUGUACAUAAAAUCUCUUGUGCUUUGACCUCUACUCCUUACCUCGAGAAUUUCCUUCAUAUCCCCCCUUUUGAGGUCCCAUUACUCUCUGUCUAAAAGAGGAGCUGAAUUCCUUCUGACCGAUCAUUUUUUCAUCUGUUUCAUGUGGUAUUUUAAUUUGUUCCUCUUUGAGGAAACAACUGUGUAAUCUCCUUAUACCUCUGCAGAAUUAUUCAGUUUUACAUUCGUCUUUGUUACUACCAUAGCAUGCUUACAAAGGUGCUCUCCUGAGGGAUGGCUCUCGAUCUUCAACGACCAAGAAGAACAAACAAUAAUCUUUGUGUCGUGCUUUGCAGAUUGGAAAUUGAGUCACAAAGUCUAGGGACACACGCAGAGAGGGCUGAAAGCCUCUAAAAUAGUAUUAGUGAUAAUGAUAUCAGGCACUGGCAAAGCUUUUCAUACUCUCUGACUGAUGACACUCUUCAACCCUUAACAACCACCUAAGAUUAGUAGGGCAGCGGUUUCCAGCAAGAAUAGGAGCACUGGCUUAUUCCAAUGGUAAGUGCUCUCAAAGAUUUCUGCCCUUGUGUCGCAUUUAUUGGCACCAUUUUGCAUUUGACCUGGCAUGCUCAGGUUUCCUUCUCCUUGAGAAGGAAGGACUGCAUUGGCUCAAAUGCGUAACCCAUGCCCUCAGAGAAUCCAUUCACUUUUCCAAGAUUUCUGCCGUUCUAGGAGGCUUGUGCCCUCGAAGCCUCCUCUGUCGCUGCCUUCACGACACUUCUCAACUCUUGCUCUCCACAAUAACUCAUACAGUUGUCUGCCCUGUAAUCGCCCCAGACGUGGAACUCAGCCUUACUCUUUAAUUUACGUGCACGCACACACAGACACACACACACAGAGUCUUCGUAAAUAAAGAAGACUUUGUUAAAGAUUUGGGGACACAGAAGAGAGGGUCUUUUACAUGAAAAAUUAAUACAAACCUUUUGAAAACUGGAUAUUAGAUUUCCCUGUUCUCCCUUCCCCGCUUGGUAGGCCAUCCACCCUCUUCUCCCUGUCUUCUCUUCCCAUCCCCCCAAUUCACUUUCAUUUCUGUGGGAGAACCACCUAACAUCUUUUUACCAGGUCUCAAGCUCCUUGUCGUGGAAUUCUCAUCUUCUGCCCCAAGCAGUUUAUCAAGGUAUUUCCCAGAACAAAACCAGGACAAAAUCUGGAGAGAGCCAUGAAGAUUGUCUCUUUGAAUUACAAAUACAAACAAGGAAACUGAGGCUCAAAGGCUUUCUGUGACCUGCCCAAGGUUAGCGAGUUGAUAUCACUUCCAAUCUUCCAUUACCUGAAAGACACAAAGCCUCAGAGACAUAACUUUCCAAUAAAGCUCCCCGUGCCAGGCCAUGGGCCUAUUUUAAGACACAAUCAAUUGUACUUCGAACAUUUUAGGGAAACAGUGUGGUCCUCUCCACCCAGCUCCGUGGCGGGGGCUGGGGGUGGGGGUGGGGGGUUGUGAAAUGAAAUUGUGAUGUGUGGCCUGCUGGAUGCCUGUGUCUGUUGCUACAGGAUUGUGGGUGUUGCCAACUGCCUCAGGAAGUGUAAACACUAAUGUUAUUUUGCUUCCACUGUGUGUGGUACUUACUGGGUGAUACAGAUAGAAUUAGUUUCUAUUCCUGUAAACAUAAUACCCAAUUUAAAGGGAUUCUCAGGCUUUCUCUUUCCUUUUGGUAUUGUUUUCUUCCUAAACUGCUCAUUCCCUUUAUUAUAAUGUGAUUUGGACUUGCUUUCCAUUCAUAAAUCAAUAGUUUCCAGCAGUAAUAAAUAUAAGUACUCAUUCCGAUGGUAAAUGCUCACAAAGAUUUGUGCCCUCGUGUUGCGUUUAUUUAGCCUGGACUGAGGCCCAGGUUGAAUUUUCUGAGUAAAUACAGCACACACUAGAGCUCCUUUUGCAAUCAGUCCCCGGGGAUCCACACAUAAGCUCCUCACAACCUCCUGCUGUAUCUCCAGACACAUGUCCACACCACAAACUGGUCGGUGCAAUCCAGGAGGGGUGGGACUUGGAGCUUAACAUGAAAAUCCCAAAGCAGGUGCUCAGAGAAAUGUGUCUGGUCCCACAGGUACAGCUCGGUGUCAGGAAGGCCUGGCCUCCGCACCAGAGUGACGGAUGCAUCCCAGCAGGGGGCGGAGCCGGGCCAGUUCCAGGAGCAGUGACAAGGCAGGCCGCCUGAUGGAAGUCUGCGAGCAAGGGACAGGAUUCGGAAACCAAGGCAGAGUUCGGGGAUCUCUCUCCCACCCCAAACAGCAAAAAGUUCCCACACUAAUGGAGCUUAUAAUCUAGCAAGGAACAGCGAUCAUAAUGAUUAAUUAUGGCUAUCGUGAUAAGGGCUGUGAGGAAGAGGUCCAGGGGCCUUACGGAUGCACGAUAUCGAGCCUUCCCUGGGCCUGGGAGGCCAAAAGCACUGCUGAAGGGGUUGAGCAUUUAGGUUGAGCGCUGAGGGAUGAGUUGGCUGUGUGAGCGGCACCUGCACAAGAGAAAAGGCAAGUGCAUUUGAUAAAUAUUUAUUAGGUGCCUACCGUAGUCCAGGUACCAUGCUAAGCAUUUGGGAUCCAUCAGUGAACAAAAAGGCAAAGAGCCCUGCCUCAUGGAGCUGGCCUGUUUGUGGAACGUGACAGUGAAAAGAACAUGGGAUGGAAACCGUGUGGGCCUCAAUGUGGCUCUGUGUGAGGGGGGAGCCGGGAGGUUAUGCGGUGGGGUGGGAAGGGGCCAGACUUCAAAGUCUUCUUCGUCUCGCGGAGAAGCAUAACAUCAUGGCACCUUUAUAGCUCCCGCAUACGAUGCCUGUCAGAUGGCAUUUGCUCAGCACAUGAGUGAAUGCAUAAAUGAAUGAAUGAAACAAUAAGUGAAUGAAUGAAUGGCUUCAGACAGGCCAGUAAACAGUGACCAGAGUGUUUCAGAAAGAUAAUUCUCAGUGUAAUGUAAAAGAAGGGAUUGAGACCAGGAAGCCAGCUAGAAGAAGUUGCAAUGGUCUCGAUCAAUCGUUGCCAAGUAGGCUUGCUUGUUUACUUGUUUAUAAAUGACUUGCAUGAGCACCAAAUACUGAUACAUUCUUUAAUACAACAUACACAAAAAUAGAGGUUUUAACAGGAAAAGCAGAAAACAGGAAUGCUAUUAUUUUCUUUCUCUGCUCCAGUGGAGAUGAGUUUGGAGACCAGUGCUCUAGACGAUGCAGACUGGAUGGUGGUGGUGGAGACAGACGAAGGGCAGCAGUGAACUUGCGGACAAGCGGUGGCUCUGUCCUCCACACCGCGCGAGAGCCAGAGAGCAGCCAGCCCUGGUGCGAAAGAGCACCUGUGCAUACACACUGGCGUUGAAACGUCGCCCCUGCACCCUAAAUCGCAACCCCACUCUCUCACCCACGCAGAGGAAUCGCAAUGAAACACACCUCAUCCAAGAUGAGCGGGUGCCUCGGCAGGAUAACCCGGUGGUGAGGUAAGAAGGGAGAAGAAGGAAAGGCGUCUAGAAGAAAGGUGACUGAGGCCAAAGCAAAUCCAGAGGUGACUGCCUUUUGCUGAGAGUGUUCACUGACCUGGGUCUACCUGCCAAGUGGCAAUCCCGCCUGAGGCCUCAAGCUGUGUAACCAGUUUACAGCCCAUCGCCUCCAGUUGUAAAACCAAAACAGAACAUGGAGAGGCUAUAGCCAGGAGACCCGUCCACACUGAUGAUCGUCUUGCCUGGAAGUUCCUACAGGCAGGGACUGUGUUUUAUCCAUCUGCCCCGGUUGACUCUGGCAUCCUCUAUAACGGUGGUGAUGCUCACUGCCAUUUGCUGAACACCUACCAUGCCCUGGGCAUGGCAUUAAGGAGAUUUACAUUUUUUAAUUUUUAAAAAUGUUUAUUUAUUUAUAUUCAGAGAGAGAGAGGGGGGCAGACAGAGAGGGAUACCAAGAAUCCCAAGCAGGGUCCGGACCGUCUGUGCAGAUCCCGAUACAGGGUUCGAACUCACGAACUGUGAGAUCGUGAGCUGAGCCGAAACCAAGAGUCAGAUGCUUCACCAACCGAGCCACCCAAGCACCCCAGGAGAUUUACAUUUAAUUAACGUUCACAGCAGCCCUAUGAAGUAGACAUUGUCUUCUGCUUAUUCUCAUUUGAUAGACACAGAAAAUGAAGCUAAG
rnacentral:lncRNA from 1 species